rnacentral:lncRNA from 1 species
UAAAAAUGGCAACAUGUAACUAUAUAUAGAGUAAGGCUACCAUGCUAUCGGAAGCACGGAGCCUUCCGUGCUUCCACCUCGUUUUCGAUGUUGCGACUUUCGAUCGUCGAUCGGCUCCGUCAAACUUGAUUUAGAGUAUUUGAAGUAACUAGAAAAUAAAUUUUAUGAUUUUACGAUAUCAUUUGCCUAGUGAACGAAGGGGCUCAAAAUUAACGGCUGAAAAUAAAAAUAUUACAAAAUAUAAUAAUAUGAUAUUAAAAUUUUAAAUCAAAGAUAUUGAUCUUGUUUUAUAUAAUAUAAAGAAUUUUCUAUCAAAAUUUCACGUGAUUUGGAUAUUUCUACACCGUUAAACUUGCAAACGGCUCACUACGGCCAUUGAAAUUUGUUGAUUUUGAGCCUAUUCGAUCACUAGGCAAAUGAUAUCGAAAAAUAAUAAAAUUUAUUUUCUAGGUACUCCAAAUACUCUAGAUCAAGUUUAACGGAGCCGAUCGACGAUUCGAAAGUCGCAACAUCGAAAACGAGGUGGAAGCACGGAAGGCUCCGUGCUUCCGAUAGCAUAGUAGCCUCACUCCUAUAUAUAUAUAUAUAUAUAUAUAUAUUUUUGAGAGAUAGGUAGCACGCUAUCCGUUUCGUUUAUUUUAUUUAGAAAAUAAACUUAGCUGGAAAUGUGAAUCAAUUAGGAUUCAAACUUAGAGACCUCGGGUACCAACCACCAAAUUCUUUACCACUUGCUCUACGGACAGUCGGUAACCUUAAAAUAAUUAUUAUAUUCUUUAGUUUGGGGCUUUGAUUGAUUUAUUUCAAUGUUCUUCAAAGAGCAAUGUUAUUGUACACCAAUAAAUGAGAUAAAAGUCUGAUUCCAACGCGUAUUUUCUUAUAUUUCUGCAGAAAUUCGAUAUCAGGAAACUAACACCAAGCUCUAACAGAAAACCACAGAAAACCAUCAUUCAAAGUGAGAAAAAAAAAAAGAAAAAAGAUCAUUUGGAAUGUUUCUAUUUAAAGAUAGGAGAAACAAAUUUACAACUGAAUGAGUCCAUUUGAAGCUCGUCAUUUCGAUUUUCUGCUCUCUUGGUGUUUCAAGAUCUGGACAGGGGCAGCAGGAAUGCGGACCCACCACUCCCUUACUCUCCUAAUCAACUUCUCGCUGCUCGCUUUCCUCAGCGGCAUGUGCCUCGUGUACGCCUCCAGUAGCACUAACAGAAGCAGGUUUUUGAAAGGCACGAAGGCGAAGGCAAACGCUGCGGCAAUCAAAGCGACCGCCACCUUGUUCGUAGUCUGAAAACAAAAAGGAUUGAAUAAAACGUCUCAUGAGCAUCACUUGUAUAAAUUCGAAUUAAGGUUAAAGCCAAACCUGCGGAAAUGCUGCAAACAUGAUAGCUCUGAGCUUGAGAAGAACGAUACUUCCGGCCUGGACAUUUGUUUCUAGUUUAGAAACAAGUUCUGGUAACGUCAAAAGUUGCUCGACAGGGUUCCGACUAGGCGGUGGUGCAAUUUCGAAGGCAUCUAUCGGCUUCCCAUGAUUGUUAUGCUUCUGCCACAGCAUGAAAGCGGCACAAGAGAAGAAUAUGCAAGGCAAGAUGUACCUGAUCCAACCUCUAGAAGAAGUCGCGGAACAUGUCUUAUUAGUAUAGAGAAUGACGAAAAAUAUACGGAGAUCCAAACUUGCAUAAAUGAAUCAAACAUUAGUAGGAGUGCGCGAUGCAAUUGUUGACGCAACAUUGAUUUCCACUCAGAUCAGUUUCUUUCUGAAGGUGUCAUGUAUAUGACUCGUGUUAGGUCGUAUUCAUCGCAUAAAAUCAAACUUUUGCAAAACUUAAGUUUUGAAUAGUUCAAAGCAAGAGGUGUAUCAGCUUGUCAGAAAAGAUUACAGUACCUGUAAACAAUGAAAAGGAUCAAAACGAGAACUGCAUGUGAUUUAAAAGGAUCUUCCCAGUCGACCAGUAACUUGAGUUGUUUGCCCAGUUCUAUGCAAGGGAAAAGCAAUUCCUGCAACAGAAACACAUAACACCAAUCUGUUAAACUACAGCAAAUGUUCAGAACAAUAAGUAGCAGCAAACUAUGUCACAUAGCAUAAAAUUUUUCUUUUCUUUUCUUUUUUUAACAUGACUUCGAAUGUACGAGUACGAAAUUCAGGUUUAACUAGAGCAGGACAUUUUGAGCACGAAGUUUCGAUUGGCUACGACAACAUACCUUUAUUACAGCUAAAUUUGUGUCAAUAUCUUUCACUUUAACCUGAUCCAGUGUCGCACGUGCCACCUCGACUCUGCCAGAGUAACAAACUGAUUCUCUAACAGCCCUUCGAAGAGGACUUGUCCCCCCGAUACCGACAUCACCAACUAUAUAACCUCUCUCUUCAGGAGUAUCUUCUUCUCUUAGUGAGAGAAGGCCCAUUCUGGAAAGGGUAUAUACCGAAAGCGGAAAAGUACCUGCCUGCGGCUUUUCGUCCGAACAUACGACCUCCAAGUGCUUAUUUAAAGCUUUCAAUAUCUUGUCUCCUUUCGGAAGUUUCUCAGCUAAGUUGAACGCAAGCGUAGUCUUAAAGUGCGAUGGCAGGAUAUGGAAACCUUCCUUCAAAGCGCGAUAUCUCAAAAUGCCUAAAGUGGCCUCAGAAAGGGCUUCGGCUUUCAGAUACUUCCCGAGCUUAUACUUCCUGAUGAACUUGUGAACAUGCAAUACUUCUUUAAUGAUCGCAAACCAGUAAUCUCUGCGUGAAUGGCCUUUGAAUUGAGGGAACUCCAGAAAUAUGGGCUCUGCUCUGAUAUGAAAGUAAAGCUAUGUACAGAAUUAAGAAAUUGUUGCGCGGAAGAAGUUUAAGAAGGGUAACAAAGUGACUCUUUGGUGGUUAAAUACUUACAGAGAACUCGACCUAUACAUUACGGCCUUAUCGAAGAGACGAGCACCCCACGGCCCGGUGCACUCGCGCUUUACGACCUGCUUCAAGUCCUUCGCCAAAUCAUACAUAACAGCUUUAUUAUAGGAAAAACCGACCCCAAAUGACUCGAAGUAAAGAGCGUGGUUGGUAAGCGUCAGCCGUCCUGAAAAGAAGAGUUACUGUUGAGGAUUUCGUAGCGAAACGCAAUCUACUCGCACGAAACAAAAUUACCAUAAAGAGAAAUGCUUAACCAGGCCAUGUGGAUGUUCCGAUGUGUUGGAGAAUAGGUUUAGUCGGCAUGGCACCGUCGACAUCUAAGAUGAUUUCUCCCUCAGGAAGUUGAAGUAUAGAAGCGUGGGACGGAUCCAAUACGCACUUGGCACAUCUGAGCACCCUAUUGUGACAUAAAAGAUGCAAACUUAUUCAAGAAUCAUAAAGGUUUUAUUAACUGUAACUGGUGCUUAUACUUGUGCAGCAUCUUUCAGCAUGUCAUGAAACAGAUAUUAUGUACAAAAGAGCAAAUUGCAAUUGAAACAUCAUGCUCUGACAAUGAAACAGUGAUUCCAUACUUCUCUAGGCUUUUCAGGUACUUGGCGUAUAUGAGAAAAUGGAGUCGGCCACCGGAAGAGCUUGUGAGCGCAUCGAAUAAAUUGUGGACGGUGAUUGGAUCAGCUACAGAAGGACAUGCAGGGGCUAUUUUCGCGAAUGCUGCUGCCCCAACAGUCCUCUUCCCGUCGACCUGACGAGAAAGAAUCAGAACAGCUUAUACUCUCAUUCACCUCCCACUACAAUAAUCAUACAUCUCUAGUAAUUGUUAGGACAAACCUGCGUAGCCAAUCUCGUAGCACUCGCGUAAAACAAGGAUCCUCCGUCGUCAUCCUCAGCUCCAAAAUGGUCGGAGCACGCCGGUUCCUGUCACAACUAAUCAGCGCCUUGAUAGAGUCCAAUACAACGUAAAGAUUCUCAUAGCAGUAAUUCUUGUUGUUCUACGUAUACGAAGCGUAAAAUCAACAGUAGUGGAUGAUAAGCAAAGGGCCAAAAAAAAAAGAAAGAAGACAUGUAGAGAGAUGUCGAAAUGUAACGGUGUCUCACAUUUAGCAUAGAUUCUUUCUCGGUAUCAGGGGUUUCCCAAGCAAGCAUCAUGUCGAAUGUUAGAACGCGAAACUCGUUAUCUGCGAGAUGAUCCGGAUGCUUAGUUUCCUCAUGAAGAGCCCUGUAAGAACAGUAUUCUACAAGAUUCCUAGCAUAUAAACAAUCCUGAUUGGCGUGGUCGGGAAGCUCGGCCUCGAAACGCUGCACCAACUGCUCUGUUGACAGCGCAAGUAUCCUGAAUUUGCGCAAAAUGACUCGAUCAAUUAUUCUCUUUUAUACAUGAGAUAUGAAACUAAUGAAGUUAUUUAAAAUGUGAAAGAAAAAAAAAAGCCAAUUCGCGAACCCGAUACACUGCAUCGGUGUAAUUGCAGGACUUUCAGAAGGUCUGUGAUGGUAGCAGCAGGCUUAGCCUGAUUUGGAUUAGAAUGUUUAAGAUUUUGCACAUAAAAUUUGAUAUUACUUUCAUAAUGUGAGAUCGCGAGAUUUGGAGUGUGUUCAAUGUUAAGACAAUCCCCGAACAGUUUUCUAUUAGAUCCAUCUUUUACAUAAGUAAAUCUCUACCUCUUCUUCUUCCUUUGCCUUACGAAUUUUCAUUCGAAGUUUUCACUUGGAAAUGUAAAUGAAGUUGCACGUAUCUUAAGAAGAACAAAUUUGAACAAGCAUAUGACGUGCGAAAAACGUGGAGUUUCACCUCGAGCAUCGAUAGACGACGGAGUUGGCGACGGAGGAGAGGCCGGGGACGGGAUCGGGCACGGCUUCACUCUCCAUCUCCGCGGCCCUUUCUCUGCCGCUGAGGAAGAAGAAGAACCCGUCAAGGAACCCCAUUCGGCGCCGAGUUCAUCCUAGCUUGUAUCCACCGCAACGCAGUUGAAUUCAAAUUUGAAUUGAAUUUGAUCGAUCGUUACCAAUGCCUCUCUCUUCUCUACUCUCUCUCUCUCUCUCUCUUCCUUAGCAAUGGUGGGUGCGUUUUUUUCUUUUUUUUUUUUUUUUUUUUUUUUUUUUGGGGUUGCGACCGUUGUUUUUUACGUGACCGUUGUUUUUUACGUGGGGGAGGGAGAAACGGAAAUAAACCCCGCCGCGGGAGGUGUCGAGAGCGCCAACUUCGCGGAUCGCGUGGGGGGUUCGAAGAACGAAUCGUAUGCCGUAUGCGUGAACUGACUCGUAUAAUGGGCCGCUAUUGGGCCUGAUAGCAGGCCCACGUAUUGAGCCCAACACUAGGUCCGAGUUUCGAAUUCGCUCGGGCCCAUCAUUAAAGUAGUUUUCAUAUUAAGAUAAGAGUUAUGCAUGAAUAUUUAGUAUGAUUAAGAAAAUAGAGCUUAAAUUAGUUGGUGGAAUUAUGCUACGUUUGAUUGAUAAUGUGUUUAACUAAGCUGUGUAAUAGAUAUCUGCGCGUAUGUUGAGUUCUAUAAUUAGUAUCAGAACAAAUUACAUUUUUCUUUGGAACCAGUCAUUAGUGGUUUAUCACAGAUUGAUUAGAAAAUCCGAAUUUUCUAUCUUUUAGGUUACUGAUAGAAUCUGCGCAAAACAUGAAAAAAAAAUAAAAAUAAAAAAUAAAAAAGCACUAAGGCGUAGGAAAUAAUUAGCCUUCAAGUUUGCAUUUCAACAAGGGAAAAAUUGAAGUCCGAAACAUCAAAAGCCCCCAGAAUUAGUUCUUUCCCUACUCUAGUACUUUUUACUCAAACAACAACUACCAUAACAACUUAAUACACUAUUCAUCAUCAUCAUCAACGUACUCGAUCUAAUUAAUCUAUCCACGUACCCCCACUACCGAAUUUUAACUUAUGCAUUACACAGCUUAAUUAUUCACCAUCGAUCCAACCAUUCAAAUGACGACUCUACCACCUUCGCGCCGCAGUGCUCCGGCAAUCACCGCCGGCAAACCACCGCGUACCCGCUUCGUCCAUUGCUAGUGCAGUCCACGACCGUCGGGUUGACCUCGAUCGCCUCCGUCACCGCGGCCACCUCAGGCGCGAAGACGCAGCUCCUGCAGUUCGCCGACAGCAGCGCAGACGUCUCGUAGCGGUCCUCCCCGCCCAUGACCGGCAUCGGCACCCCCUGCUUCACCGGGCUGUAGAAAUCCGGCCGGUACGUCUGCCCCAGCACUCCCUCCACCCUCUCCGACAGCUUGAAAAUUUUGAACUGCACGUCCAAGUGCGCAAAGCAAUCCCCCUCUGGUAUUCCAUAUCUGCUGAAUAUAAAAUAUUAAAAUACUAUUCUCUUCUUUAAUACUCUGUAUUUAUAACUAAUCGAUUGCUUUUGUUGGCUUAAAGAGACCAAUAUUCUAUCCCAUGACAGAAAGCCAGUUCAGAUCGAAUCAUAUUUGAAGUGGCGAGAAAUUGAAUUAGAUUGAGUCACAAUCGAGACCAGUAAAUUUUAUGUGUAAGUUUUAAAUGAACUACAGUUCCACGUAGUAUUGUUUCACAAUACCUAUGUAUCCGAUCAUCCUCCUUUGUUACAGGGGUGACGGUCGCCGAUAUCUCAAACACGUUCGGAAGCGUAACGAAGAGGGUGUUAACGGUGCCGCUCCGCUCGACCCGGAGGCCGUCGGCAGUCCAGGAGGAGAGGUGGCCUGGAUCGAGGUUGAUGGGGGCGCCGUCGAAUGUGAGGGAGAGGUGGUCGGCUCGGGGGUCCCAGGAUGGGGCGGUGACAGCGGCGACUGUAAAGGCGUGGGCGCCGAAGCGGAUGCCGAGGGACUGUAUCCAGGUGAAGUCACGGCGGCGGCCCGCGGGGCGGAAGCCGACGAAACGGGCGUUGAUCUGGAGGUUCGGGUCGGAGACGAGCGCAAAGUGGCGGCCGGCGUGGCCGUGGAAGUAGAAGACGGCGCCGUCGGCGCCGACGAACCUGGGGUCUUUGCAGCCGGAGCCCUUGUUGUCACAGUUGGGCGUACGAGCUGCAUGCAUGCAUGUUCUAGAAGGGUCAGUUUGGUCUAUAUUCUGUAUAGAAAAUAAAAUAAAAAAAUAGCCAUGCGCGGUGCUUUUUUUUUUUUAAAUAAAAUAAUUAGGUUUCAAAUUUGAGACCUCAGUUAUAACUUACAUGUGCAGGAGGGCUCGCAUUUGGGGUUAUUGCAGUCGACGACACAAGCCUUGUCGUUGGGGUUUCCGGGCUUCUGGCUGGGGCACUCGGACGGGCACGUCAGGAAGAUGCCGGCGCACCGCGUGCCGUCGUCGCCCGUGCUGUUGUCCGGCGGGAACUCGCGCCCGCUCACUCGGGACGGCGGCGGCGGCGAGGGGUUGCCGUACAAAUCUGCAUAACUGUUAGAAACAACUGCGAGGAGAAGAGCUCCGAGGAGAGCGACACGUUGUUUGCUCAUGGUUUUGUAUUGCUUAGCUAAACUAAACAAAUUGCAGGAACUAGUACUUCACAGUUCACGCUACUCAAAAGGAAGCACGGGGGAAUGCCUACUAUUUAUAGACUAGAUUUGGUCCACGUGUUUGUAAUCUAAUGCCUAGUGUUGUUCUUCUAGAUCUGUUUAUUUGAGAAAGUCAAAUGCGAUUGAAUUUGCUGUCGAAAGUAAUUAACUAGGUUCGGUUCUUCCUAAACAUCGGGUUACGUGAGGAUUGAAUGAAGCAUACGAAACGAGGACUCAAUAUAUAGUAUUUUUUACUUGCUUUUUUAAUUUUUUUUUAUUUGUUCUUUCUCAAGAUCACAGUCAUUUUUUUUUUUUUGAAAAAAAUGAUAGCACACUACCCGCUUCAUUCAUUCAGAACAUGAACUUAGUUACAUGGGUGAGACAACAAGACCUCUAAAGAGAUAAAAAGUCGGACAAAGACGAAAAAAUAAAAAAAAUAAAAUAAAAAUAAAAAAUAAAAAAUAAAAUAAUAAUAAUAAUAAAAUCAGUUUAACCUUAUAGCAAUCACAGCCAUUUUUUGCAUAGUGUGUGAUAUGUAAUGAGUCUCAGUGAUCACUCUCGCUAUGGCCCUGUCACCGUUUGCAAAGUUGCAAAGCUCGGGACUGGGAGGAAACUAGUAAUAAGAGAAACAGAUAUAAACUCAACCACAUGUAUCUCCUAUUUAUAAUUUCUUUUUCCUCCUUUUUUUUUUCUUUUUUAUAAUCUCACACACAAGGUCAAUGUGAAAUAGAACAAGGUAAAACAUGGGGAGUAACACUUCCAUAAAUACUGGCCCUCAAUACACGCCUUAUUAUACGCAGCAUCAUCAUGGGGUCAAGAUUCUCUCAUGGGGCUCAUACAAUACACGUUUACAAUUGCUAAACUUUGGGUUAAUUAAGAAAAUACACUACAUGGGACUCAAAAAAAAUGAAAAUACACUACAUGGGACUGCAAAAGGUAGAGAAGCUUGUUUAUAUACCGAACCUCGGGUGAUUUAUAUGGUAAAUAAAAUUAGGAAUAAAGUUUUACUGUAAGAAAAAUUUGAAAUGAGUUUGUAGGCUUCAAAACUAUAAAAGCUUAUAUAUAUAUAUCUAUAGUUUUUCUAAAAAAUGUACUCUCUAUAUUUUUUUUAGUUUAAUAAAUGUUAGUAUUUUCAAAUAGCGUUGCUUUACAACAAAUACUUGAAAUUUUUAUUAAAAAAAAUAUAUAUUCGGUGAAAGUUGCUUUGUACAGCACACUUUCCUAGAAACUACGACGCGUUUCUAGCUCUACAACACUGAUUUGGGCUUUUUAUCUCUUCAUGCUAAGUAAAACUUUUUUACAGUUGUAGAUGAAUUAUAAAAAGAAUAACCGAGUUUAUACUAUUUUAUCCCAAUAUUAAUUACACCUUAAAAAAGAAAAAUUACACCGACGAUCUUACGAGAACGAUGAGAUUGUCUCGACCAAUGAAUGGUCCCUAAACACGAGAGAUUCGCGGCAACCAUCGUAUAUUGGGCUCCGAUAACUUAUUAAACUGCUGAGUAAUACGAAAGAUUCCAUGCGUGGGAAUAUGAUGAUGUUUAGUCAUGCUUCGAUCAAGUAACAGUGCAAUACAUCAUGAUAUCGGAUCUUAGAAAUUCACACUUCCGACUAUAAAUAGUUUAAUACAGUAUUUACUUAUCUUUGACCGCUUAUAUUACUCAUGGUUUCAGAUCAACUGAAUCGAGCUUACCCCAUGUUGAAUCACUUGGUAAACAACAUUAAUACCUGGAAUUAAACAGUGGGAACUUCAAAUAGCAGGGGCUAGGGAAAGUAAAGGGGCUUAGUGCGACAUAAAACAACAGGGGGCUUAACAAAAAGGAGUAACUCUCUCCAGUAGCAUCUCAUUAUGUCUCAAAGUAAAUAGAAGUUUCCUGCAAAAAGCAGGAGGGAAAUAGUUGUCUUCACAUAGGAAAACAAGCAGGAACUUCUACAAAGAAAACCAGCAUUAUUCGAUAACGGACUCUGUUUCAUCUAACCACUUCGAUAACGGACUCAGUUUCAUCUAACCCCACUCAUUUCACUAAGCAGAUCUUUAUGACAGAAGCAAUACCAAUUCGGUGUAGCGCAACAACGGCAUCACCAGGCUUGCACAGGCUCUUCUGCACGCCUUUUUGAAGUGCGGCCGCCAAGAUCACCUCCGUCGAUUCGGAAUCAGUUGCCUUAGCUGAACCCUCCGCCAAUAUUGGGAUAAGACCCCGGUGGAUAAGGCUGAGCCUUGCAGGUGACUCAUCGCUGACCAUCCAGUCGAACGAGUCGGUGGUCAGCACUGGCACCACCACAGACAGGAUUGGAACCCUAGGUCGAUACUUCGCCACCAACUUGGCAGUCGUACCGCCACGUGUCAACACCACAAUAAGUGUGGCCUUAGCUUUGUUUGCGGUCCGGACGGCGGAGGAUGCGAGACUCUCCAAAGGGCUCAUGGGGAGGGGGGCACACCUAAUCAUUUCUUUGAAGAUGGCAUCGUAAUCGAGGGAUGACUCAGCCUCUAUACAAAUUUGGGCCAUGAUUUUGACUGCCUGCUCAGGGUAGGCCCCAGCUGCACUCUCACCGCUGAGCAUGACGCAAUCUGUGCCGUCAAGAACGGCAUUUGCUACGUCGGUGGCCUCAGCACGAGUCGGGCGAGGGGAUUUGAUCAUCGACUCAAGCAUCUGUGUGGCAGUGACGACCGAUUUGCCCGCUAGAUUGCAUUUGUAGAUCAUCAUCUUCUGGGCGAGGAAGAUCUUUUCAACUGGUAUCUCCAUACCAAGAUCACCACGGGCAACCAUGAAGGCAUCAGUUUCACGUAAGAUCUCGUCGAAGUUUAUGACUCCUUCCUGGUUUUCGACCUUCAAAAAUAAAUGAUGGAUAGAAAAAGAAAUUAGAUCCAUUUUUGGAGCUAAAAUACUUCAUAGCUAGUCCUUAUGUGGACAAUACAGACUAUCAAAAAAGGCCUGAAUAGCAUUGCUUGCGAAGGUCAGUCUGUGCUCAUCAAUGAGAUAUCAAGCUUUAGGUUUUAUUUAGAAUUUCAUUAAAACAAUGAAAGAUUAUUAAAAUGAAGAUAUAUUUUUUCAAUUAGUAAUAACAUUAGUCAUUUGUGUGUCAACAAAUAGAAUACCCAUGAAGAUAAAAUAUCAGCUAGUCAGCUACCGUACAGGUUGUUAUGAUACAAAAGAACACGGAAAAAAUGGAACUGCAUUUGCUUAAUCACAUUUAUGAGUAAUCAAUGUGAAAGGUUUUGCCUAUGCUAAUGAAACAGUGGACACAUGCAUCAUAAGCUGCUAGAUCCGGCACUACAACAGGUUGUGCACAGGGUGAAUUUGACAUACAUGCAAUUAACACAAAUUUAAACAUUCACAUAUUUAUAUGGUAAAAAAGCCUGAAGCGCUUAAUGGCCAUUCCUAUGUCAGAAGACUCAUUAGCUCUGCUGGUGCAUAAAGUGAUAUUAAUAAUGAAAACAUGGAUUCCACAUCUGCAUGUACAACUCAGCAUUGGGUGGCACAAUACCAUUCCAAUAGAGUAUUGACACAGUAAGGGUACUCGGUCUCCGCCCCCCCCCCAAGAAAAGGGUAAAAAAAUGAAUAUAUUUAUGUGUGUGCGCACAUGACAUCAGAAACAGCAAAAACAAAAGAAGGUUGAUUGCAAACAUAGACAGGGAAAGGCAAUGAAAUUAACAGGAGCUAUGUACCUUUGACAUCAACUUUAUUUGCUUUGCAUGUGUGCCAAGAACUUGCCUAACAGUUACGAGAUCAGAACCUUUACGCACAAAUGACAGAGCAAUUAUAUCAAUGUUGUUCGGAACACCCCAUCCCAAGAUGUCUUCCUUAUCUUUGUCAGUCAGUGUCGGGAGAUCCACAAUAAUCCCAGGCAAAUUGACAUUCUUUCUCUCACCCAACAUUGCAGUGUUUUCACAGCGACAUCUCACCGUCCCAGCUUCCGGAUCACAAGACAGGACUGUUAGAGUUAUUGUACCAUCCGAACACAAUAUGGUGUUUCCGGGCUUCAGAUCUACAGAAAGCUUCUUGUAACUCAUAGCUAUCAUAUUCUCAUCGCCUUUAAUGUUGUAAUCAGUGGUAAUAGUGAUCUCUUGGCCCUCCUUGAGCUUGAUAGGUUUCCCGUCCUUCAGGAAGCCAGUGCGGAUCUCAGGGCCCUGUCACAGGAGAGAAUAUAAGACCAGAAGGAACAACAUAAACUCGUAAGCCAUUGAUGGAAUUAUCAAAUUGGACUAGAUUAAGAAUCAAGUUGAAAUUUUAAGUCCUAGAUAUGAAUUUACUUCAUCUUUGCACAAUAUUCUAUUAGAAGCAUAUGUAUGCACCAGAAAAACUAGAUUUUAUAUGCCACAAAUGCUUGAGAUGUGCUUAUUGUGCUGAAGUGGUAAAAACCACAAAGAUUACAGAGCAAAGAGGUCAACGAGCCACCCCAAUAAAUUUUCUUCUUUUCUUUCAUUCUAUAGUGAUAAAGAGCCAUCUUACAAGCUUGCAGAAUAAAAGGAAGCCUGGAAAGAUCAAUGAACACAAACUAUGAGAGAGAGGAAUUGGUGCCUUUUCAUCUUUUCUAGUCAUAUACAUCAAUGUAUCCUACGUUUAUCUGGAUUUGAUGCUUAUUCAUGUUUUCUAGUCACAGAAACAGUCUAUUUACUAAUUCUCACCUCAAAUAAGCACUAUCCCGACAGAUCACUUACUAACUGCCUGAAAUUCAGAAUUCCAACAAAUAGCCAGUCAGGAUAAUAGAUAAAAGGCAGCAAUUUGGGAUAUUCUUAGAAAUUUUGCAUGUUCAACAUAUAGGAACAAUCCUAACGUCUUUAACCGCUUCUUCAGUUGGUUAAUGAGUGUUCAUCAACGUUCCUCACUCUACACUAAAUGAUCAGUUUCAACAUGGAACCAAACAAAAAUAAAACAUGACACCUCAGCUGCAAAAACUAUCAUACAGGAAAGAAAUAGCUUUGAUGUGCUGUAAGCUUCUAUCAGAUUAACUACUGAAAAUUUUCAUGCUCCGAAAACCUUUAAUAUGUGCGACUAAACGUUUCCAGGAGACGCAAGUAUCGUGUCCCUCUCGCGACCUUUAAACAAUUCUGAUAAAAUUAGCACAAAGAUGAGCCACUCAUUAGCAUUCCAGUAUUCCUUAUAGCAAUUAACACAUGAACAGCUAGCAAGAUUAAAAGGAAUGAGGUGAAGAUGGGCCAUGCAAUUCUAAUACGAUCAGCAGAUUAUACACAAAGCGACUGAUUUCUUCAAUACAAAAAUAUAAUGUUGUCACGUACAAAGCCUAUCGACACAACAUACAGCAAAGAGCAGAUUGAUGCGGAAUUGAGCUUCGGAUAUAAUUAUAACUUGUAGCAAUUAUCGAACAGUGCAUAUUGUUUCUGCAGUAGCAUUAAACAGUCAAUCAAAUACGAUACGACACAAAACCGGGUGUUUUUGCGACCAGAAUCCUACAGCAUACGGCCGAGACAAGAAGCUAAAAUUAGCUUUUAAACUCCCAAAAAAACAGAGUUCUAAAUUUAAAGCUCCUGCUCUAGCUGCAGUAUCGGGAAGCUAUCAAGGUUUUUUCAAUGACAAGCAGUUGGGGCGUCUCCGAACAGCUCUACACAAACAGAGUAGCUUCCACACAAGCAAAGUCCAAACCAAACAAGCCCGAAACAACAAAGUAGCAAAUAGCUAUCCGAGCAUACACGAAUCACAGCUCUUCCGUGGGGAAAGGAGCGACCUUUGUGUCGAGCAUGACGGCGCAGAGGAUCCCGGUGUUGUGCAUGGCGAUCCGGAGAGUGUCGAGGGUCUCCUGGUGGUACUCGUGCGUCCCGUGCGAGAAGUUGAAGCGCGCCACGUUCAUCCCCGCCCUCAGCAGCUUCUCCAGCACCGGCACCGACCUCGACGCGGGGCCGAGCGUGCACACGAUCUUCGUCUUCGGCACGCGCCCGUCGCUGGGGAGCCCCUCGAGUAUCCCCGCGAUGUCGAUGUUCGCCAUGGCUCCCGCAGCGAAUCAAAGCCUAAAAAACCCCAAAUAAACCCUUAAAAAAGGCCACGAAUUCCGAUCGGAACGCGAGGGGGAGUGAGAAAUCGGAGAAGCAGCGUUGCAUUAGGAGGAGAAACUCACCGAGGCGGAGAGGGAGCGGAGAUCGAAACCCUAGAACAGUGGAUCUGACUUCUUAGGACGACAAUGGAGAAUCCGAGUUAGGGUACUCGCGGAGUGGAAGAAGCUGCUUUUCCUUUUUCUUCUUCUUUUUUUAUUAUAAUUUAUAAUUUAUUUUCUCGUCGUCGGUACUUCUCCUCUGCUGUGUUUUUUGACCAACUGGUAUUCAGUGGGCGGAAUGAUAGGGAAAAUAUUUUGCAUGCACCUGGUGCACUGUGCACCGCAUCACUAAAUAUAUAUGAGAAAUAGUGGUCACACCAUAUCACCAAUAUUCUAAGCAAUCAAUAUCUCUAUUUAAAAUAUAUAAUAAAUAUAUAUAAUAAAUACAGAGCACGCUAUUAUAAUUCAUACUUUCUCACUAAAUAUGUAUAAAAAAUAAAUUUAAUAUUUUUAAAUUAUAUUUUCUCAUCAUUAUCAUAAUUCUGUAAUCUAUAUGUAUACUUAUAAUUAAAAGGACAAAUCAUCACUAUAGCUAUUUGAUACUUAUAUUAUAUAUUAUAUAAGAAGAAAAAUAAAGAAUUAAUAAAUUAAGAGACUAAUAGGGCAAUUUAUCCUACCUAUUAUAAAGUUCUUAAAAUUAGAAUUUAUUCCAUUAAGUGUGUUAUUUGGUGUUUACAAAAGCUUAUUUGUUAAAAUUAUAAUUUAUAGACUACUUAAAAUAUAUUAGAAUUUAAUUUUUAUUUUUUUAUCAUUAAAUAUUUAGUACGGUGCUUGUUUUGGACAGCUACACCUGAUGCAGGCAAUAGUUCUCUCAAAGAUGAGGUGAGAGAACGGAGGGGAGCACGUGAGCCACGUGGACGGUCGAGAUUAAACGAUUUUUGAAUUCUGAGCACGCUUCGAACCGUUAAAUGGGCUGAUCAGGGACCGUUUCCCAAAAGAAUAAAUCAAAAACUCGUUUCCCUCCGUUUCGCGCUCUCGGAAUUUCGUUCCACGGAUCGAACGGGGAUUAUUCCCCGGGAAUAUUCCCUUGGUUACUAGAAUACGGCGAUAUCAAUAUACCGUGUGCCGUGCGGACACAGAACUCGGCGAAGCUAGCUAACACGUCGCCGACUUUAGAGUACAUGAGAGUGGAUAGAAUUUUUGGUAAAUGUAAGUUAGAAAAAUGGUGCAAACUAAUUGAAAAUGGGAGAAGUUUGAGAGGCAUGUAGUAACUUUUGCAUCCAUAAAGAGAAUUAUAGAAAAAAGAUUUUUUUUUAUAUGUAUUGGUCAACUAAAUUUUAAUUAAUUAAUUAAUAUUAUCUAUUUGUAUAUAUCAGGUGGUUUUUCUUUCUUUUUUUUUUGGAGGUGCAUGUACUAUCAUAGGACUUAGCAUGAAAAAAUUAUAAAAUGUAAUAUUUAUAUUGCUUAUGUGGUGGCACUCAAUCAAUCAAAAAAGUUUUUUUGGAAUUUACCAUCGCAUUGUGGGUUUUAGAAAAAAAAAAUUUUUAUUGUACAUUUUUUUUUAAAAAAAAAAGGUAUAAUUGGCCGAAGAUAAAUAAUGUCUCGUAUAAAAAAAAUUAUAGAAUGCAACACUUAGCAUGAGCAAUUUAGUAUUAUUAUUAUAUUUUGCUUCUUUGCUGUGUCUCCUGAUUAAGCCCUUUUAAAUGAUUUAAUAGUUCCACUCUUAUCCAAAAAAGGCAAAGUGUUUUUUAAAAUCAUUGAAAAAUAAUUUACAUAGAAUCUUCAGGACUCAGAAGAGAGAAAAAGGAUUAUUAGAUCAUAUUUGAGCACCUUUAAGGGUAGUAUUAUGAAGCGUCAAAAUUUUCUAAACAAUAUUGUUAAAUGCAAUUCGUGGACGAUGAACUUAUUAAACUUAUGACCACGACACACUAUUUAAGAGCAAAUAAUUUCAUUAUUUGGAGACAAUCUGAUCGAAAGUUUAAAUUAGUUUAAUGAGUAAAAAUAGUAAUUAAAAUUACUAAAUUUUAAUAAAUAAUUUUAUAAAUUUUUUUAAUAAAAGUAACAAAAAAAAUUCGAUUCGAAAAUUCAUAAAAAGUUAAUCUUGUCCAAAAAAAAAUCAACCACAAUGAGGGGUUUUAUUUAAUUAUUCCGAAGGUAAGGGUGCUCCAUGCAAUUGUGCCUACAUUUCACCCAUAAACUCGCGGUGCUUCGGCCUCUCACUCCUCGCACUCAUUCACUCGUCUCGGCGAAGCAACACGAUGCUAACUCAUCAUCCGUUGCAUCUCUAUCGACCUCCUCCGCUCCACCUUCUUCGUCCUCCUCCUUCGAAGCUACCCCUCCAUCUCCACCACCAUCACCAUUACUACCGUGCUCACACCAUCACCACCACCUCCACCUCCACCACCACCGCCAUCGCCGCCACUAGGAGGAGGAAACGAGGCGCCACUCCAUCAACUGGAGCGGAGGAGGAGGAGGAGGAGGAGGACGACGACGAUGUAGGGAACGAGGUCGAUUCGGGGAGAGCGAAGGGCUCGGGGACGACGGCGAGGGGGAGGAGGCUCCUCAAGGUGAGAGAGGAGAGGCGGAGGAGGGAGUACGAUCAGAUCCAUAACUACCCUACCUGGGCUAAGUUCGUAUAAUCCCCCCUCUCUCUCUUUCUCUCUUAAUUCCGAUCUGUUUAGCGUUUUUACUCUCUCUCUCUCGCGACUCGUAAUUUGAUGUUGUUUUUUAAUCGAAUUGCCCGAUAUAACGCGUUUGAGAUGCUAGAGAACAGUUGUUGUAUUAUGCUUUCUAUUUGUUGUGAGUGGAAUAGGAUCUGCGACAUCAAGAACUCGUAAUGCCCGUUAGGUGUUCGACGAAAUGUCCGUGUUGCUAGUUGAUGUAUUUACUAUGUAGGUGUUUAAUUCGUUCAUAUGCGAAUAUGGUUAGGACGCUAACCUUGCUUGAUUGUGCCUUUUGUUUUUUCCCAAAUGGAAGCAGCAAUCGCCGUUAGUUUGAAUGAUCAUGAUCAUGGAAAGAAUAGGUUUAAUUACAAAAUUGUCGUCGCACUUCCCAUCCUGUUUCAAUCGCCAUCCUAUAUUAUGCUUAGCAAUUUUAUUUCAUCUUAGUACGCCCAACGUUUUGGGUGACUCUGGAAUUCAAACAGGAAACUCAAUGAAAAAGGCGUCUGCGGAUGUAUGGCUUUUAUAUCUGAGCACCGAUCUAGCUGUAGCUCGAAUAAUAGAUGUCUCAAUCCCCACUAGACGUUCGAACUUGGCACCUGGUGAACACUUCAUUCCAUUCGCAUAGAUCUUUUCUAUUACGUAUAAAGGGCAUGCUACUUUCGGACUGAUGUUCGGCGGUUAUUAUUGUUUGUACAUCUGUGUCUUAUUUACUUCAUGUUUGAUUUAAGGAUACUUGAAAAUGCAUGCAAGGAUGACAUGGAACUUCGUGCUGUUCUAGGGGACAGUAUUGGGAACCCAGAGUUGAUGAGGAAAAGGGUAUGGUAAAAUAUUUGGUAGAACAUGUGUGCGGAAUAAAAAAUUUUAAACUUGUCAUUUUGAGUAGUAGUUUAUCUCUAUAAUUGACAGGUAGAGGAAAGAGUACGGAAGAGAGGUCGAGACUUCAGCAAAUCAAAGUCAGGGUCUGUGCUUGCUUUCAAAGUUAGCUUCAGAGAGUAAGAUUCUAUGGAUAUAUCCUUCUUUAUUUUGACUAUCGGAAUAUUAUUAUACAUGAUCAAAACAUAUGAAAAUUGAAGUUUGCAUAAUUUUUGUUACUAAGUACCUCUUUCUUAUUAUGAUUGGUCAUAUGUUUCACAACAAUACAACGCAUGUAAAACUUAAGGAUCAUGUUCAUUGCGAACUUAUUGAAAGUUUGAUGGUAAACCCUAUUUUCUCCUUUAAAGUUUAGCAUUCUAUUUUCAGCAGCUUUGAGAGAAAUAUAGUCUGCAUGACUUGUCCAAUUCAUUUCUUUCUUCUACUGGUUCCUACAUUAAUUAGUUAUAUUGAAUCCCAGUUUAUUUACAUGGAAAGAAUUGAAGAAUAAGUUACACCCAUCACUGACGUUAGUACAAGCUGUUUAGUUUAAAUGAAGUCAAAAUUACAUAAAUGAAUUACUAAUCAGAAUUUGACGGCUUCUUUUUUUGUAUGCGGUUGUGCACAUGCCGCCUGAUAGUAUCAGGGGUUCCUUCAGUUUUAUUUGCCCUACUAAAAUUCUAACUUCAAUUGUUCUCGGCAGCUUUAACCCAUUAGAUUCGUUCAUAUGGUUUGAACUCUACGGGGCUCCGUCUGAUCGGGAUGUUGACCUUCUUGGCAGUGUAAGUUGAUUGUCGAGAGGUUCGUUUCAAAUGGAUAGCAUGGAGUUUUUAUUAUUAUUAUUAUUAUUAUUAAUGCAGCACUGUUAUUUUUAUACUUGUAAAGCACUGCAGGUAAUACAGUCUUGGUAUGUCAUGGGCCGUUUGGGAGCUUUCAACUCUUCGAAUUUGCAGGUUAGGUUUCUCUUUUCACUCUUGAAAAUCUUACAAUUAAUUUUCAUUCUUGUCGAUACCAGAAGAGAGAGAGGAGGAAACAGAAUACGUGAACUUAGUGGAAUAAUUCCACCAUAGCAUGGCAAAAGAUUUCUAUUUAAUCGUACGAUGAAUUGUGUAAAACAUUGAUAUAUGUAUAAUCUGUUGAUACCAUUUUAUGCAGUUUUGAUGUGCGUCUAUAUAUCUAUUCUCAUCAAAACGUUGUUGUCCACAGAAGCAACACUUAGCCAUUUCUAUUCACAUUCAACGUCGUGUCCUUUUUAUAUAAACAUCUGUAUUGACUGUGUGCUACAGCUAGCAAACUCAUCAAUGGAUUACAACCCAAGCUAUGAUUCGGAUAAAGCCUCUGGUCAAAUGCCUUCGUCUUUCCAUGAUAUCAGUGACGUCGAGUUUCAAGAUAACUGGGGCAGGGUUUGGUAAGAGUAUUUUCAUCAUGCAUAAUAACACAAUCUAGCUUCAGUAUUGGCUUCAAUCUCUCAUAAAUCUGAUUGCAGGGUGGAUCUAGGAACAUCUGACUUUCUUGCUGUGGAUGUAUUGCUCAAUUGUCUCACUUUACUAAGCUCUGAGUAAGAUCUCGUCCUAAAGUUGUAUUUAUAAUUUGACGGCUUCACGUGUAGAAUAUCCUCUUUCUUUUUUAUCUUUUUUUUUUUUUUUUUUUUUCACUGGUUUCAAGUUUUCCAUCCUAUGUUGAUGUUAAUAAUGGUAUUCUGAAUCAUGCAGUAUCAAUGAGAUGAUAAUUAAUUAUCUCGACUUUGUUUCUAUGUUCAGCUAUUUGGGCAUCCAACAAGUGGUUUUUGGCGGCCAGCGCAUGGGAGACUGGGAAGAAGGCAUGACAAAUCCAGAGUAUGGAUAUAAACACUUCAAGAUAUGAAAUGUAAUUCACUGUCUCAAUCAUUGCAAUUCAUGUUAGCUUUAUUAACACGAGCUGUACCCAUAAUGCUCGGGUAUGAGUGCGAGGUCACAAUUGAUGCCUGGGGACUCAGCCGAAACGGAGAAGCUCCCCUGUGAGUGUUAUGUCGCCAGAUGCUGCAUGCAGAGCAUCAAACAUUUAGCCUAGAUAUUGCGGAGUUCACAGGAUGAUGGGCAACUGAGAUCUGCUUUUAGUAUCGAUCGUCAUCGAAUUACUGCAUUGUAACUAAUGGUCUAUCUGUAAUUUGCCUUCGGAAAGCUAUUUGAGCAAUGAGAAAAGAGGCAAGAUAAGUGCUUUUCAGAAAGCUCAAAGUCACGCACCAGUGUCAAGUUGUGAUUGUUUUGACGGAUGCUGGAUGCUGCACCCUUCGUCCUUUGGUCAAUAAUUGUCCUCAGCAGAAGAUUCUCUGCAAAUCACAUUUAGCAGAUAAAUAGUAACACUAAACGGGUCCAAGAUACAUAGAAUCAUAAGGAAAUAAUAAUAAAAUAAUAAAAAGGCAAAUUUCAGUAAAUAUACACCCACGGCAUUUAAUGAGACGUACUGCGAGAAGCACCUCAAAAGAAACCCGACGUCUCACAGCAAAAAAACGCUUAAACAAUUUUGGCAAAUUUUCCUUCUGAGAAUCAUUCAAAAUAUCAGGACAAUAUGGGCCGAGCCACUGUUGAAGCAGACGACAGCGGCAGUGUGGUGCAGGAUACAACAAAAAAUGAUCACAAUAAAUUGAGCCCACACUACAAACAAUGAUCAGAAUAAAUUAUGCGGGCUCCCGUUGCAUGCAUGGAGGCGGCUGAGACGUGACAACUCUACAGAUGAAACAUCUGGUGAACAUCUGCAUAGAUUUGCAAACAGCAAUCAGAGAACAAAAUGUCGGCAAAAUUGUGAUGUGAAAAACUUAUCCUUACGCCACCAUGGAUUAUGCCGCUAAGAGAAGGUAAUAACAUAUCAGAUUGGCCUUGAGAUUUUAGGUUUUCGGAGGUGACGAUAUUCCCUCAUGUCACAUUCUUUUUUCUUGCUAACUUGACAAAACGGUCGGUCCACUCCUUGUCUUCCUUCACAGCUUUAUUCCAUCGCUCCUUGAACUUUUCUAAUUCAGCUGUUGACUGCCUUCUAAUCUAUCAAAAUGCAUAAAUAUUUGGUACAAAUAACACCGUUAAUUUAAUAACAGGAUAUCCAAAUUCAUUGUUCUAUUACAGCAACCAAAAAAAAAAAAGGUUAAUUGUUUUUACCUGUGAUCUUAAAUCUACGGAUCUGUGCAGUGCCUGUAAUAGGAAAUGCAGCACAGUGAAUCCAUGUCACUCUAAAGGACCACAUCUUUACGUAAAAUUGCAAGUGAAAGUAUUAACAGCCAAGUAACUGACUUCAUUAGGGUACACGACUUGUCGGAUAUACCCACUACCAGGAAAUAUGCCAAUGAAAAUUGUAUCUUGCAUUUGAUAAUGACCAAGUAAUUGUUAUUUUUAUUGGUUGUCCUACUUCAUUUUGCUUUAAAAUUAGGUGGCUCAUGGAAAUGCCGGACCAGAGUAACCAGCCUUACAAAAACAGAAAUCCAACUUAUGAAAUUGUUUGCUUAAAACUACAUUCAGUUCAAGAAGUGAAGUUAGUAGAAUUGCAAAAAGCAUAUCUCUCAAUCCGAUAUCAAUGCUUCUUAUUACUUGCACUUAGUAGUAAAUGGCUCAACAGAAUUCACAUAAAAUAUAUGAAUUCAAUUGAGGUAAUUAAUUUUCUUUCAGACUAUAACAGUAAUAUCUUUUGAAAUGUCAGAUACUACUUUGUGAAGGUGUAUAAAAUCCCUGCAAAUUGAAAAUUGAACAAAGAUAAUAACAAUAACAGACUAAGUACAUAAUUUGUGCCUGUUUAACCUUAGUAACUGAUGGUCCUCCCAGGGAGGGUAUCCCUUGGUGAACGAUGAAUUCACUAUCAAUCACCCCAACCUUCUUAGUUUGAUCACCCUGAAAUACCAUGUGGUGCAUUACAAGUGUUUAAGAAUAUCAUUGGAGUGAAAAACAACAAAAAUAGAAGAGCAAACAUGGAACCAGGCGAAAUUCAAAGCAAAACAGAUUAUUUGCCAGAUUAUUCAUGUAAAUGUCAUGUAAAUAAUUUAUCUUCAUCACCUGAGCACAAUAACCGAGCUUCAUGUCCAGGCCCCAUCCGUGAAUCAGGUCAUUCUGCAAACAGCCGAGAAAAUGAACUAUAUUAACAAUGUCAAUGAUACCCAAAAAGACUAAGAAAAAGUAGUAGAAUAAGGAAAUUACGAUAUAACAAGCAUGAUAUUAACCAUCAAGUGCCACAAAUCUAUGUAUAAUCAAGUCCUUUAAAAAUAAAACUUACAUCCUACAACUGAAAUUUUCCGCACGUAGGCGUGUUAUCACCUUCCAAAAAUAUCUUCAGCAUAAAGUAAACAUAUGCUAUUACUCAAAAUUAAUAUAAUUUAAAUAGAUCAUUCCCGAAAGAAACAAAAGAAGGUAAAUUUUUGCAGCAUCCAACAGAACCUACCAAAUUAUGCCCAGGCUACAAAUGGAAUUGGUGACUAGAAUAUACAUAGCAUACUCAAAAGGGAAAGCUACACAGUUUUAUAGUUAUACCUGGAUGAGAUGCCACACGCAGCGCCAUGCAGCUCGAGAAAAAACAGGUGCCAUCCCUUCGACCCACCUAGUGCCAGGAAACAAAAGUUACAACUCAAGCUAGUGGAAGGAUUCCAUGGGCAGGGAAAUGCAUUAUAAUUGGCCUACAAUCGAUGUGAAAAACCAGAUGGUUAUGGUGAAAAACUAAUAUGUGCAAACAAGAACACAACCAUAAGCGAUCAAACAAUGAAUAGAUAUUCAAAGGUUAGAUUGUGGUGCCUAGUUUUAUGUAAAAUAUGACAGUAUUAUUUCUCUAGUAACAGUGUUUGCACACAGCAUGACAGUAAAUGCUUCAGUAUCUGGUGUAAAAAAAUACAAUCGAAGUGAUGCUUACAUUAGAUCAGGAAAAAAAAAACUACUCAAUGCAAUAAGGUCAAGCAUGACUUCGUUCAGAUAUCAGAAGGUUUCAUGAGGUUUCAAUCAUAAGGGUGUCCCGAAUAAAAGAAAUUAGUCAAAGCUAACUGGACCAAUAAUAAAGUGCAAUACCGAUUAUAAAUACAACAAUCAUUUGUUCUGGUGGGUUAAGAGAUCUAGCAUGCUGAUUAAAUAACUAUGCGAAGCAAGUAGAGAACUGUACCCUGUGCAUGGAGGCCCUUUACUUUCAUCAGAGCAAUUCAGACUCCCACGGAAAUCAUAUAUGCGUCUGUAGUAUCAUAGAAGGAACCACAACAAGAAAUGUCAAGAACCCAUAAAAAAUAUACAGAAUAAAAAAGUUUCACUGUUUAUUUACCUGUGAACUUUCAUCAUUUUAUUUCGGAUUGUGAUACGGUGGUGUAUGUCAGAUGAUUGAUCAGGAUCUAGAGCAGGCUGUGAAAUUUCCAGACCUUCAGAAAACAUUAUCUUUAAAUACCUGAACGUUCAACCAUGAAAAACAUGGACUUGUCACAUAAGAUUCUGUUUAUAGAGUCUUUUCACAAAUAAAUGAAUAAUGACCAUGACCACACCUUCUAGGAUGAAAGUUCUCCACGCCUAGAUCUUCAUCCCACAAAAAUAUGUAGUCAUAGAUAGAUACAACAUCAGGAUGUAAAAAGCGUUUAGCAAACCACCUGCAAAAAGUCAAAACAAGAGCGUAUCAAGAAUAGCUUGGGUGCAACAUACAACCUGUAACAAACAAAAAAAGAAAAGAAAAGAAAAGAAAAGAAAAAAGAGAAUUGGCAUGAAAUGCUGUACGCACUAGUACUCACUAAAGCACUCUUUAUAAACCAGCCAGAAGGCAUGGGUAUGCAUUGAUGUUUUGUUUUAGUACAGCUGGUCAUGCACAGCAAGAAGAAUACACGUCAAAUUAGGGGUGAGCUAUGACUAGUUACAUGGAUAGGCUUGGAGAGCUCAGUUAAGAGUGAAAAUCUCCAAAUUAAAAGAAAAUACAACCCUCCUGGUUUUUCAAUCAUCUUGUGCAAAAAUCCAUGGCCCUACGUAGCCUCCUAGGAUUACUAAACUUACAGGGCAAAGUUUAUUACCAUUUUGUUUGAUUAUAGGCAAGUAUGUGUACUGCCUUGUUGCUCCAAUUGAGAUCAUGCCAUCCGUCAACGCUCCCAUCAUAAUGAAAAAGCAUAAUUGAGAAAUCUUCUAUAAGAAACUGAACUAAGACAAAUGAUGAAGUUUAUAUUAGCAAUCUUCGCUACCUAUAGAACUGAAAAAGAAAAACAUCUCUCAAGCAAUCAUGUGUUUAAUGACCUUCCGAACUAUAUUAUCCACAUUUUUCUUUUGUGAAAUGCCAACUGCCAUUGCCAGAAGAGAAUUGGACUUAUCACUAGCGCCCUGCAAAUGCAUACAAGAGGAAAUGUUACUAGAGAACAGAUAAAGAACAAAACCACGCAAUCCCACACCAAGCUCAAGCAUUUCAAUCAGAUACUUUUGUUAAAUUAACUAACUCACAACCAAAUAUUGCGCUCAAAAGUAAAAUAAUAUAUGCAUCUAAACGAGGAAUCUAAUGAAGCAACACAAAUUACACACCCAAAUUUCCGAUGAAACAAACAGUGAUCUGAGAUGAACGAAUUAAUAAGUCCUCGGAUGAAGUAGUUACUUUUAACCUUGAGUUCUUCAACAUAGACUUCAAUUCCAUGUCCGUGGUCGGUUCGAUGAUCCCGCGAGGCAAACCCUGGAGCUCGCCCCUCCAUUCCCUCUAAAAUCACAACAAAUCCCAAUCAAAUUACGAAACAGAACACAAUGUGAUCAUUAGAGAAGCACCGGGAAUCGCACUAUAUAUAUAUACAUACCUCGGUCGGCAAGGAAGGAUUUCGCGUCAGAUCCAUCUGAUAAAGAGGAACAAUGUCAGAAGACGAUAAAAAGGGGAUAAGCUAGAGAGAGGGAGGGGAGAAUGGUUUGAGACCUCGAGGUGCUUGUUUUGGAUCUUCAUGGUGAUGAGGAGAGCGAGGGCCAUUAAUAGAGCGAAGAAGCCGAAGGAGGUGGUUUGCUUCAUGGGCGGCGACGCAGAGGAGGAGCUAGGGUUUCUCGCUGGCUUCACUUUGGAGACGACAAAGAGNAAAUAUAAUUUCAAAAAGCAUGGAUGUAAAUCCAAGCAAACGUUAGCAUUUCCAACUACUUGGGCGUAACAUGCCUCUUGUUACCCGAAUUCGCGCUAAUUUUACGCAAUCCAUCAGUAAAUUUGACUUUACAUUGUGCGCAGAUGCAAUAUGCGCAACGAAAAAGGAUGUAAAAACAGAAAUUCAGAGUACAAGCAAUGCUUUCAACUCAGCAUCUCCCGGCAAUUCUUGUUUGACUCUCAACAAUCCUGCGUCUUUCUUCUGCGAACUGCUUCUAACUGAAAGAAAACAAAGGAAACAAAAACUGAGCUUAAGCCAAAAAAAAAGAAGUAAAUUAAGACAGAAGAAGAAGAUCCCAAUUCAUUACGAAAAGUUUGAGCCUAUGGACCGCUAUCCCAGGGUUCAAAGGUAUAUUCCGAAAGAUUGUAUCAUUUCUGAUCUUCCAAAUGAUUCACCAGCAUCCAACUAGGUUAGUAAGACAGAUACGCUUCUUUUGAGUAUCCUUCCUACCCUCCACUUAUUCCAUAGUAGACCGACGUCGACCCCCAGAUCUUGGUUCUGAAUAUCAGACACCCCUGUUGCUAAGAUAAGUUGAUCCUGGCAAAUUAAUGAAUUACGACAUCUCAGUAGCGUAGAGAAAGAGUGCAAAACUCUUUAUAAGAACCAAAAGAAGAUUAAAAAAAAAUAGGGUGCAAAACUAAUAAAAGAAAACACUAAUCAAGGUAAGGAGGAAACGCUACGCGACUCGUCUUAAAUUAGUUCAAUUUUUCCCUCCCCUAUUUUCGCCCUAUACGCCAACACCGGGAGUUUUUCUUUUUUUGGAAAAACUAGUCUACAGGAUCACAAAUAUACCCAACAUUUCUGCUUAAGGCCGUACUUGUUGAACUCAGAGGCUUUUAACGAUCAUCCCCCCUUCUACACCGGCUUCGGACUUUUAUUUUACAAGAAAAAGUUCAGAGAUUUUAAUGCAACGUACAAAACCACUGGAAUCAACAUUAUGGAACUUAUUCCAGCGAAGUAGCUACAGGAUUUUUAGACAAUAAACACAAAUUUCUCAUCACCCCCUCCGUUACAAGAGGCAAAGUAACUUCUAAGAGAGGUGAAAAAAAGGGAACAAAAGGGUGUAGAGUUUAUUAAUUUCAACCAUGGAUUCGACAUAUUGAAAUGUGUUACUUCGGGAACAAAAUAUGCAUGUUUCCCAUGCCAUGCUAUCAGUGGACUAUUUAGGAGUUUCGAAAAUUAUGAUAUUGGGACAAGAUUUUGAACUAUUCAGGUUUCAUAUAAUGAAGAAAGAUACAGGCUUCAAACAGCCAACUCUACAAGAAGCUAACUAGUAACUAGGUCUCUUGUAUUCCGUCAACCAUCCACAUGCUCGGCUCUGAGUGUUCCGCUUGUUCCUUUCUACUUCCAUCUACAAAUUCUUCAGCAAAGUCCCAUUCAUCCGGCUGGUGUUUUGCCGAGUUACAUGGCUGUUAGUUAUGUUAGCAUGUGUACAUUGAAAUAAAUUACUGGAGAAGAGCAAACCAAUCAAGUGCUUUUUGUUAAGCUUCAGUGCGCAAAAGCACUUGGAGGCUCCAUUGAAGCUAAAUCGAGGCAUAGUAUGGCUUAAUGGUACAGUAGGAUUAUAAAACUUCCUGAAGUGCAAGUUUUAGCUCCUGUGCACUCUUCGCGAUAGACCCUCUUCUUCUGCUCAGAAAAAAAGAGACAAAAAAAUGAAUAAAAAACAACAGUGAAGGUUACAUUAAGACUAGAUUCAUGUGCGCAACAUCUCCAAAUGACAAUUUGCAAUUUUUUGUUGCCGUAGCAUAUCCUGAUGGCAAAUUCUGCCAAUAUAAAGUGUUGAUUUGCUUUGUUGGCACGAAGGCAAUGAAAAUGACCAUGGUGCUACAUAAAUUCUGCAAUGAGAAUAAACAGCAGAGUUUGGAAGGGUGAUUCUGGAAUUUUACACCCACAUGAAUUAUUUGCACUCAGUGCACCACAUUACCUGUGCAUCGCCCAAUGAGAUACAUCCAUCUCAUCUCAUAUUUUAACUUGAGCAGUCUUAAAUUCAAAUAUUAUUUUCUUUAAAAGUAAGUAAAAUGGUUCCAUCCAAAAUAUGAAAGGCCUUCAUGUCAAUAUUUGGUUCCGCAAGGGGCAAUGAGUUUUCUUAGUUUGGAAGAUAAUAAAGGAUUGAAUUUUCUGACCUUGCAAGAGAAGGUAACCUAUUCUUGACCUUUUCCAGUUCAAUGAAGCAAAGAUUGCACCGCUCAAGCCUGAGAUGGAUAGAAAUAAUCAGUAAGAAGCAUAUUGUAGCAAUUUAGAAUUUGAGAAAAUUUAAAGCAGAGAAAUAAAAUGCAAACCUUUGCUCCGCUUGAAGGUCUACACCAACAGAUGGACCAGCCGAUAAAGUUGAAUGGAUUACAGGGCCAAAAGUUCUAACAAGCUUGUGCAACAUCUCCAAGGAAACACCUAAAUGCCUAAAAUAAGGGAAGUUGGUAAGAAAUGGAGUUGCACUGUAAGUUAUAAGUUGGUAGAUUGAAGGGUGCUCGUGAUAGUAUAUCUGCACCAUAACACCCUGCUAAAUACCCAAUUGCUCAUAUGUCUACUGAUUAAAUAGUCACCUAGUGAUUCACUACUUUCUUUACAGAAGUGAAGGGGACAAAAUUUUCAUGUGUACGUCAUCGGUCUACUAGUAAUUAUCAAGCAAAAAGGAAAGACAACGUACAGAUAAUCAUUAUAUACCUUUCCAUUUUACUCUCUAGAAGUGUAUUGAGGAGUGGCAUUAGAGAUGUGCAUAAAUCCAGUGUGAUAGUAUCACUCUUCUCCAUCAAAACACUAACUACAUCAGCUGAGACCUGCAGUACGAUAGCAAACAUUAAAAUUAGCCUGCGUUUAACUAACAUAUGGAAUGGAAACAACAAAUAGAAUACAUACAGCAUGAUCAGAUAUCAUUCCCAUUGCAUGGAUGACACCCUUGACAUCCUUCCUUUCCCAAAAUUGAUGAACAGUCUGUAAGUUAAGCAAAAUAUUUGACGUCAUUACCAUAUUAAAGUACAAACUGUGUUUCACUUAAGCCCAUCUCUCAUAAUAUGGACAUUACAUAAGCAACUAAACUGCAAUCACAUUGGUAUAUGGUGAAUGACCGUUAAAAUCAAAUUUUACAAAUCUGUGUUUUAUUUUACAUAAACAGAAACAUAGUUACUUCCCAAUUGCCAGACCAAAAGAUAAUAUGCAGAAAAGCAAACUUCUACAAUAUAUCAAGCAAAAUAUUACUCUCUGCUCUCCAGAUUAAUGUUGCCAAAACAAAUGAUACUAGAAUAUGCAAAAUGAAAGAUAAUCACAAAAUUAUGAGCCGCAUGAGACCCGAACCAGAACUAAUAGAGCUGAGACCCAUGUAAGGAGAAGAGUUAGGCAUAGUAAAUGCAGAUUCUACAGUUCCCAAGUUAUCUAAUGAUACUACACAGAUUAGAUAAUUAAGUCACCUGUAACUUUGUUAACCUAGACCGUGCAGAGCCUAGAAAUAGUUCAUGCUGUUCAAUUAAACCAGCAACAGCAUCCUCAUCACUUCCAGAUGGAUCUUCCUUUUCAGCUGGAGCACCACGUCUCUGUUCAAAUCAAUGGAAUCAUUAGCAACGAGAUUACUAUUUAAAUAAAAAAGAAUAUAGGAAGCCAUAUAUUUAAAGAAAAAAGAAUAGGCAGCCAUACUUUGAUAAAUACAGAAAAUGAAGAUGCUAUGCACACUAAUGAAAUCAGUUGGAAUUCAAAGGGCAUUCCAUGAAAAAGUAUGUCAACUAUAACUGUUAGACAAAUAAAGUAUGCAAGUUCUACAUAACCGUCAUGGCCACUUUUUAGCAGCAUAUGUGGAAACAUACAGAAGAAUAAGGCAUGCUCGCAGCAGCAAUGUUCACAGAAGAAGUGCUAGUCGUGGGGCCUUCAUAGCUAGGAGAUUGAUCCCUGCUUUCCCAAUUCGCAACAAGUGACCUUGUUCUCCCUAUAUCAUAGUCAGAAAAUAAGACAUUCAAGCUGACUGAAUUUUUUAUGAGCUUAACUUCACAGAAGUAUACCUCCUUUUGAAACUUCCACAGAGCAAGCAUCACUAGGCUUAUGGACUCGAAUGUUGUCUACAACAACAUUUAGUAAUUAAAAAACGAGAGAAAAAUUAUAAAAAAAAAAACAGUGAAAACAACUGGAAGCACUUAAAGCAUGGCAUAGAGCAACAGCUUCUGAACAUACAUUUCUCAUGGUGGUAAGUUUGAGAUGGUUCCACUGGAAGAGAAGAACUCAGUCUCCCUGUUGCAACUUGUUUAAUAUCAUCUGCUUGAUCUUCUCCAAUAGUCAUUAUUUGAUUACCAUUAUUUCCAACAGAAACAUAAGGCCUGUUCAUAGCUUCAUUUGAUUCUGUAACUUUGUUGCCCAUAUCAUCUUUAUCUGAAUCAUCGUUGAUUUUUGCCGGUUUUCGACGGUCAGCAAACUUUGACCGUAGACUAAACGGUAGCGUUCUCCCAACAACAGACUCUUUUCUAGAAUCAAGGGUUGACUCCACUCUCGAGCUUGUUCCAGCUACUGUGACAGCGCCCACGUCGCCCAUUUCUUUUCUGAAAUCAGAGGACUGCUCCACUUUAGGGUUUGUUCUGGGUACAAUAACAGGAAUCACAUCACCAGAUUCCCUUAUAGAAUCAGAUGCCAGCUCUGUUCUCGAGCUAGUUCUAGGGACAAUAACAGGUACAACAUCAGCUCUAUUGAAGCUCAAAACAUUGGCUGUAGAAUGGCUUUUUGAUGAAUUUCUCUUCAGGUUGGGUGUACUCGAUGCUGGACCUGAACUUGAAGCAGUUGGUUUUGCAGCGGCGCUAAGUCCGAUUCUUUGAGGAGUACCAGGAACACCUACAGUUGUUUCAGUUUCAAAAUUAACAGUAAAAUUAGAUACUCCACGAAUGCAAACAUAGAUUCGAUAAGCAAUCUAGAGAAAUUGAUAGCCUACAAGCAAUAGGUUUAGCCUCUUUAGCUCCUGAAUCUGAAUUUUGCGAAACUGAUAGUCUUCCCAUAGUAGUCUUUAUACUGCCAUCUGGAUCUUGUGGAACUGAUAGUCGGCCCAGAUCUUGUGGAACUGAUAAUCGGCCGGAACUAGACUUAGUGCUGCUGUCAUUUUGCAAUGGUGUGUUGCCGUUUGAAUUAGAUUUUGAUUCUGAAUGACCAUUUUCUCUUGCAGGAGUAGCCAUUGCGUAUGGCUCGACACGCUGCCAUUUGAGAAGUCAGUUGUAAACUUAUUAAAUUUCAGAUCAGUGGUAGUGCGAAAUAUACAUGAAUUUCAGAAGAUACCGAGAGAUCCACGACCCAAACUCCAACACAACUUUGAUUGAAAGAACAACCAAGAAGUUUUUUAUCAUGGACGUUCAGGUCUGAUAGUCUUGACCAUCCCACAUCCACAGCAUCAUGGCAUCUUAUUGGUUCCCAUGAGAAAACCUAGUCAAUGCAAAUAAAGAUUGAUAAUUGAAUAAAGAAAACAAGAAAACAAAAAAGAGAAAAUAAUUUCUACCUUCAGACUCUCAUGCAAUCCACAUAGCAAAGUUCUUCCAUCAGGAUUGAACGUCAUAGACCGAACGCCAGAGGUCUGACAUUCAAAAAAAAAAAAAUUAGCUAUUCUAGUUUCCAGUCCACUCAAUCUUUUUUUUUUCCCCCACCAUUUAAAAUCCGACAUAAAAAUUAGCUAUUCUAGUUUCCAGCCCACUCGAAUCUUUUUUUUGUUUCCACCAUUUAAGAUCCGACCUGAAGAUUGAUAAUGUGACCCCAUAGAUAUAAGGAAAAUUUAAGCACAGGUAUAUAACCAAAAAAAAAAAGAAGAAAAGAUAUAACCUAAUGCCAAAACUGUAACCCAUUAAGAUACCUCAGGUCCAGCAGAUCCAAUCAACUCAAAAGUUUCAAGAUCCCAGAAUUUGACAGUCCUAUCAGCUGAACCUGUAUAUUUAACAAAGAGAUGAUGAAGAAAUUCAUCGUGCCAAUUAAGAAGAUACUAAGUUAAACACAAAAUUCCUCGAAAACUUUUAAAGUGUUUAGCAGAUCAGAAUUAUUUAACUUGCAGAAAUAAAUGCAGUCUAAAAACAGAGCUGCCUAGAAAGGAAAGCCUGUUAGGAGCAAGUGGCUUUAUUCUGAAAAAGAAUAAUGAAGACCCAUCAUAAACUGCCGGCCAUACUACUAAUACACAGAAUCUUUUGUAUACAUGUACGUAAUCCUAUCAGGCCAUUCCAUUCGUAAGACAUAAUAAGGGAAGGCUCAUGGAAUUCUGGAGGUGAUAGCAGGCUACCUUCUGGAAAGAAGGCCUUUCUGGUACUUCUAACACAUUUGUUCCAUAGGAUUUAAUCCUUAAUUACAUUAAAUCAAAAUUUAAGAAAAUAACUGAUGAGGUUAGCAAUCAAUAAUGGUUAGAUUUUUUCUUUUUUUUCUUUCAUCCUAAGAUCAUCAUUAUAGAUAAUUACCUUUGCCCCACUUUAAUCCACAACAUCGUCAUUCCUUUUCUCAAAUUAACUUAAAGUAGGUAAUAAUUACUCAGAUACAAACACAAACAUGACCAGGAAAUUCCAUAUCCUUCUGCCUUGCAUGGCGAAAGAGAAACCCUUGGCCACUGGUCAGCAAAAAUACACACACGAAAUAAAAUGACGAAGAAAAGAAGAUAAAUGAAAAUAAAAAACAAAAUAUAGAGUGAUAACAUUUGUACUUCCAGCAAAUCAAUUAUUUUCAAGUUGUAUUAUGCAUCUAAAAUAUGCUGUACCAAUUGAUGUUUCCAUUUUCUGAGAUAAGUGCAAGGAACAAUCUAACCUGUUGCCAAGAGAAACUCGUGAGGAUGGAAAUCGAUGCACUGAACCUGGCCCUCAUGGCACUUAAAAUCAUGUAACAGCUUCCCUGCAGUCAGAUCCCAAAGCUGUCGAGGCAACGUUUUUCAGUAAACUGGUGAGGAAGUUACUAGAUAAAUAGGACAUACAAAAUAUGUAAGACAAGACUUUUUCUUUGAUUCAUACCAGAUUCUUGUACUCAAAAUUAUUUACACUGUAAAAAUUUAAAACUUUAAAAGAUAGCAAGUGCGAUGAAUCUUGAUUCAUUUCCACUCUUCAAUGAGUAAUCAAAGAACUCCAAUAUUACCUUCACGGUAUUAUCUUCUCCACCGGAAACAACCCACCGACCAUCAGGCGUGAAUCGAAUAGCAUUAACCCCUCUUGUAUGGCCUUUAUAUGUGUGGAUACAACCCUUCCUUCUAAUAUCCCAUAUCUUCAGAUUUGUAUCCAACGACCCAGAAGCAAAGAACUCUCCAAAUGGGUGGAAGUCCACUGAAAUGCAAUUUGACCUGUGUCCCGUCAGAGUGCGAACAACUGCACCCAAAAAAGAAAAAGUCAGCUGACUCACAGGAGAUAAGUCCAGUACAUUAAUGUCAAUUAAAAAAGGAUAUACAAGAUAAGCAUCCAUACUCUUUGCCUCCUCUAAAUCCCACAACUUUAUUGUGCCGCUAGCUGCUCCAGCAGCAACCAAUACUUCGGAGGAAUCAAAACUAACUGACUCUACAGCACUUGUAUGCCCAGAUAGACUCUGCACACCACACCCUGAGCUAGUUAUAUUUCUCAUUCUUUGAAUCUAUUGUUGCAUAGUUGGAAAGAAGCAUACUGCAUGUACUUAAUAAUUUGAAGGUAAAUUAGCAUUAUGAGGCUGGUUAGGAACACACCAGUAUGGAGUUGGGUUUGCCAAUUGCCCAGAGAUUAACCUUGUGGUCCUCUCCUCCAGUGACAAGAACCCUAGAAGUUUUCCUCCCAAUCUUGAGACAAUUGACAUUGGAAGAAUGUGCAACAAACUCCUCUGUAUUUCAUGUAGUCAAGGCACACAUUUCUCGUCCCUCGCAUUGAAGGUUGCAUUUGGCAUUGUUCAUGGGUUCUAAGUUUUUUUUUUGUUUUAACCAUAAGAAAACUUAAGAUUCAAUAAUAUGCUGAGCUACACUUCUUUUUGAUUUUGUUAUUAUUUUUUGUUACCAAAGUUGUCUCUGUUUAAAACAAACAAAUUACCAUUGCAUUUAUUUUGUUUUUAAUCUCUAAUGUACAAUUGCUGCAAACUACAAAAACAGCUUACAUAUAAAACUAAAUAGCAAACUUAAGAAAAAAGAGGACAAAAUUACUAUACCAAAACAAACCCUAAAAUUUCCAGAGCAAUCAAUUAUUCACUCCAGUGCCAUUAUGACGAUCUUAAAACCACAGAGCACAGAGAUCACAGGAGCAAGUGCCCUAAAUAUGCCACCCCAUAAAUCACAUUCACGAUCCAGUGAAAUAAAUCUAACCUCCAUGUCAAAGAAGUGAGUUCCCUUAAUUAAUACCCGGAAAACCCUAAAACAGUUUCUCCGCACAAAUUAAAUUCAAACCAAAAAAAAAACCAAAAAUAGAAAGGAUACGUAGCUUGUAAGCGCGCUUGGUGGCGGUCGCCAUGAAUCCAGUGGCAGUGGGAAACCCCAGCCGAGCUCCUUCCUCUUCGUCUCCUACAAAUCCAACAAAUCCGGUUCCCCGAUCCAACCCCUCCUCCCCUCAUCUCAGAUCGGACCAACUCAUCCUACAGCGGAUCUCGACGAUUCGAUCCACCAUUUCUCUAUACUCAAGUAAAGACCUCUUGUUUGGUCGAGACAAGCUAAGUUACCUCAGAGAACAAGCUAUCUCACCAUGGAAGCGCCGCCACCGAGCUGCGGAGCUCGGGAGGAAGGUAAGAGGAGCGGCAAUGGCGAAGGGUGAGAGUGAGACGGAGCUAAUUAGGGCUCGAAAUGCUUGACUUCUCAGCUACUCUCGCCGUUGUGUGAGGGUGGAGAGAGAGAGAGAGAGAGAGAGAGGAAGAAGAAGAGGAGGGAAGGAGAAACCGAGCUUUCGUAGAGACGGGUUACGACCCAAUAGGGAGGGUUUGGUUUCAAAUAAAAAAAAAAAAAGAAGAAAAUAAAUUAAAUAAAUCAUGUGUUUGGUGUUUUCUCCUUCUUUUUUUUUUUUUCUUUUUUAUUUUUAUUUUUUUUGAAUAGGAGUAAACUAGAACUUGCCUGGUUGUCCCUCGCUGCCACUUCAUAUCUCGUUUUUGGCCUAAUAAAUGGCUUUUUAUUUUCCUAAUUUUAGUCCUUUUAUAAAUAAGUAAAGUUGCUAAAAAAUUAAAUUAAAUUAGAGCCCAAGAUUUGUUAGAAUAAUACAUAAAAUUAGUAGUAUAGGAGUAAAUCGAAAAGUUUCAUGGAUCAUGAGAAGUUGAAACUAUUGAAUCAAUUUAUAUUGAAUAGCCAUAUUAGGAUAAAAUCAUAGAAUUGUACCAAACAAAUUGAGAUUGAUCCAGAUUAAAUUUGUAAAUUAUGUUGUAUCUUCCUAGUGAUAACUCUGAAUUGCUAUCCUCUUAUUUUCUUUUAAUUUCUACUUUGUUGUUUUUCAUUUCAAUAUUGUUCUAUAUUAAUUUAAUUUUAUACAGACAAAUCUGACAUACUAUAAUAUGAAUUCAAAAUUUGAAACCGAUCUAAAAUAAUGGAUGGAAUGUUCGUUUAUUGAACAACAUAUCGUUCCACAUCUUAAUUCACACACCUGUUUGAUCUAAUCAUUAGAUCCUUUAGUUACAUAAUUUGAAUCAGAAUUGAAUCUCAUUUCAACACUAUACUCAUUUGGUUUCAUUUACCCAGAAAAACAAAUAGGUAGCCUAGCGCUAUUGUAUUUUAUUCUAGUUUAAACCUAAAUUCUUUAUACGGGCUAAUCUUUUCGUAUAUUUUAAAUUAAGACUUUUUUUUUGCAUUUAGCACCAUAAAAAAAAAUUAUAAAUGAUAGUAGCAAAUUUAUAUUUACAUAUUUAGGCCUUUUCUUGUAAUGUGAGCACCGUAUUGACAUCGUGAUUGAAUUACUAUAUUUAUAUCUACACCUUAAUUCCUUUGCCUUAACUUAGAGUGAUAAGAAAUACGAAAAAAAAAUACGGUGAUUCAGUCACCAUAUUUAAAUACGGUAAUUGAAUCACUGUAUCUAACUUAAAAAUACCACUUAGGUGCUUUGCGGCAAAAAAAACAGUAUUAUUUAUAUAAAUAUAAAUUUGUUAGAAUAAUUUAUAAAAUUUUUUGUGAGGAACCUAAAUGUAAAAAAAACCCUUUAAAUCUACUAUUUGGAUUCACUAUUGUUGCUAUCAAACUAAAUAAAUUAUUUAAAACGCGUUUGUCCACGACCAUGAGCUCCAUUGUUUCCCGGGAUCGAGCUUUGACCAUAAGAGGUUGAACUUUGAAGGGGAAGAGCUUUUGCAAAGGUUUAAAUAACAUUAUCAAAAAAAUUUCCAAUAAUUUAUUUUAGUAAAAUCUCUAUUAUUAAUUUUUGAUACAGUAUUAAAAUUUGAAUUUUACUAUUCAACCUUUCAAUUUAUUUUAUUUAAGCCCAUCAACGACGUUUUAACUUUAAAAUUUGAAUGUGUGGUUUAUUUUAACAAAUUUAAUUAAUAUAUUUUAUAUAACUCUUGUAACUAUAAUUUAUUAAAAUAAAUAAUUAGGUUAAAAUUUGAAGUUAAAGUAGUGGUGGCUGAUUCAAAUCAAACAAAUUGAAAAGUUAUAUAGUAAUAUCGAAAUUUUAAAAAGUUGUACAGUCAUUCAAUAUGAUCUAUAAUUCUGAUAGGUUCUGUGAGUAUUUUACUUUUUCUUUUUUUUUCUUUAGAGCUUUGUGUUUAUAACUCACGUUAUAUUUUGAUUUGUACUAUUAUUAGCAAAUCUUUAUGAAAAACUAGAAGGAAUUUUAUAUAAGAAAUAAACUGUUGUACUUGGAACACAAAUAGUAAAAUUGGGACCCUGAACCAUAUAAUGAUGAUUUUAAUAAAGCAUAUUCCGUAACAUAUGUGGCUCGUGCGAACAACUCAUUGGCAUACUUUUGAGAACAAGGUUUUUAGUCAACUUCACACGGAAAACCCUGAUGUUACAUUUCUUGCUUACUUAGAUAACGUGGUUACCACUUUUGGCGAAAAUACAAUAUAAAAUUCAUAUAAACAUAAUUAAAAAUAUAUAAUAAUUAAAUUUCAAAUUUAAUAACUCACAUACCAACUAUUAAAUUCCCAUCCAACUGUGCUAGAUAUGAUCAGUGUUUUUAAAAAAUGUUAUUUGAAAAUACAAAAUAUGACGAAAUAAUCUUAGAAAAAUAAAAGAAAAAUGUGCAAAAUUUUAGAGUAAAGUGAGAGCUAAAUAUUUUAUCCACUCAAACUCUCUCUCUGGGAUAUGUUUUAAUAAAAUUCAGCAUAACUUAGAGUUAAUCCAAAUAUCUUAAAUAAAGAAAAUUUGUUUUUAUUUAAAUAACACUGUUUUGAACAAGUACUGUGCCAUUAAGAAAAACUCUGAAUUAAAUUUCAGAGUUCCCAAACAAAGCCUAAUAGUGUUUAAUAGUGAAUUGGAAUGUGUACGUGUGAAGGUUGAUUGUAAGUUAAAUUGGGUUCGAUCAUUUAGUUGGUUAGUCUCAAUCAUGAAGCCGUUGUACCAACUGACGAAAUCUAAUUCAGAAUUAGGCAUUGUUAUUGGAGGAAAAAAAAGCCCACAACUACUAGAUUUGCCUAUGAAUAAAAUUAUUAGGGGUACAUAUGAAGCCAAUUAAGAGGAAACAAGUGAUUAUCUUAUAGUUUUAGUUUGAGAUCUAUUCCACAAUAGGUUGCUAAACUUUUACUCAUGUUUCUCUUUGAUUCCUAAUAUUUGAUUUGUUGCAUUGUGAAGCAUGAGUUAUUAUUACAUUGUUCUUAUUUUAGUCCCAAUGUCGGCUUGUCUAAUUUGGCAUUUCAAAUCACUACGCACGCAACCAUCAGGAUGAGUAUAAAAUGUAAAAGGACCGCUCUCUAACCGCUUAAAUUGUUGGAAAAAACUUAGGUCGUUUCAUAUUAUUUAUAAAAUAUCAGGACAGGAGGUUCUGAGUUUGAUUCACAUCAGACAAUUAGGAUUUUUUGAUUUCCUCCUAUUCAAGUAAAGUAAUAAGCCCAGAAAGGGUCGUUUACAAUGGUUGGAACAUCCUAAUAUAAUGUAUUAAAGGUAAUACAUUAAAAUGAAUUUUGAGAAAAACGUAGCAAGCUUAUCUGCUUUAUUCAUUUUUUUUAAAUGAACUCAACUUAAAAAUGUAAAGCUAUUAAAACUUUGAACUUGAGAUAUUGGUACUAACCAUCAAGCUCUUAGUCAACUAUGCUAGGUACAGGCAAUGAGGCAUUAAAAUAAAAUGAAGUAAUUGAUUAGGGAUUAAUAGUGUAGUUUAUUUAGUUUGUUGGGAGUAUCAUACAUGGUAUUAAAACUAAGAUGCAAGAAUAUGUGAAGCAUAUUUCAAGGGGCCGAGGAUUCUCAACAACAUUGCUGCAUUAAGAUCCUACAAUUGUGAUCAAGCUAGUGUCGGAUCGUUGGCGCUAACCACUAAUCCCAAAAGCUCAAGCUGUUAGAAAUACGCAAUUAAUUUACUUAAAGCUUACAGAUACAGCGCCCACAGAUCAUGAUUGUGUCACGAUUGUGACUCGGCCCAAUCAGCCUCAUGCCACUUUGAACGUAACUCGGCCCACUUGGUCUCCCGUCACAGGGCAGGAUGCUGGCCCAUUUAAGCCAACAAUCUCCCCUCCAAUCCCCCCUACAGCACUUGUACAUAUUUGCAGCAUGCGAGAAUCGAAUCCGUGACCAGUGGCUCUGAUACCACUUGUCGGAUUGUUAGCGCUAACCAUUAAUCUCAAAAGCUCAAGCUGUUAGAAAUACGCAACCAAUUGAUUUAAAGCUUACAGAUACAGCGCCCACGGGUCACGAUUGUGACUCAGUCCAACCAGCCUCACGCCACUUCGAACGUGACUUGGUCCAAUCUAGCCUCACGCUAUUUCGAAUGUAAAUCGGCCCGCCACAUGACAGGAUGCUGGUCCAUUUAAGCCAACAGCUAGGACAAUUAAUUUCUAUCGAAGAAAAUAAUUUAAGACUCGGAAUACUAUAACAAUUUGAAUGAAUAAUCAACAGCACCUAAAUACUAAUAUUAUAGGAAAAGUUCUUAUAUCCACGCUUUGCAAAGCGUAUGCUUAGGGCUAUAAUUUAAAUGGCAAUUAAAUUGGUAAUUUGGGAUGGAAGAGACUAAAAGAAACUGAUUAAGGGCGAUAACGAUGGAAAUAAUGAGAUAAUGUUGUGUUGUGACCAUCCAAACAAGCACAUGCUCAGGAAUAAUUAAAAGGCCAAAGCAUGAACUAGGAAAAACCUAGAUCAUGGAGGGGACCAUUUGAUUCAAUCAUACCCCCUCUGCUUCUAAUAGUUUAGAAUAGUGUGACAUACCACAUGCUUACCAUUGAUGAACAUGUGCUUUUUUAGCCAUGUAUGAAGUAUUGUGCAUACUAUUUUUGUUAAUUGGGUUUUAUUUUUCAUAAAGUGAUUUGUUAUUGGUGUAUGGGUUAAUCGUUUAACGAAACUAUUACACAACCAUAAUGUGAAAAAAUGAAAGGAAAAACAGGGCAAAGAGAUUUUUGUCAUAUUUGAUAUACUCGGAAGUGACGUGUCAACUACACUUCAGAGAAGAACUAUAAAUUCUUUUUCACAAAAAGAGAAGCUCGAGAACAAACUAUUUUAAUAUUAUUGGAAAAUAAAAACAUAUGAAUAUAAGAAAAGAAAGAAAAUGUAAACAUUCUCUUAAUCUUCCUUAAGGAGUGUUACCACUAACCCAACAUAUAGUAUGUAAACAUGUUACAGUCAAUAGUAGGUUUUUGUUUGCAUGUUUGUACCUUUUUUUAAGUACUUGGAUACUGUGUUCAAGUACAACAAAAACUGCAGGAAUAUUUACUCUUUUGCGCAGUUCAUACAUCACCAAAACAUCGAUCCUCCAAUGUGAAUGAAAUUGUACGAGAUAAGCAAAAAUUUCAUCUUCUUUUGAGAUUCUGCUCAUCGGAUCAAAAGCGCGGCCUCAGGUUGCGCAAAGUAUUUCGCUAAAUCAGCUAGCAUGACCAUCUUGUGGACCUUAGUGCUCAAGAACGCGGACGACAAUGCCCACCGCGAUGGUACUCCCCGAUGCUCGCAAGAAAACUCUACCGAGAGCUCGACAAUUCGAGAACUCUUCCACACAAACUGCUCCAUCCAGCUUUACCUGAAACAAGAUAAAAAAAUGUUUCUGCUAUGUAAGUGAAUUUUGACGUCGCGUAUGGUGACGACAUGGCCAUUUCUAUCCCAUUUAAGCAAGGAACUUGAUGAAAAGGAAAAGAUGCAAAAGUUAGGACCCAAAUUGUAAAAAUUGAAAGGUUGGGGGGUUCAAAUAGAAACCUUCUAAAAUGGUUGGGAAUCCAAGAUGCAAUUUACCCUUUGCAGAACAACCUAAUCUUGGUCUAAAUAUGACAAAAUGACCUAAUGAAGCUUACACAAAACGCAAAUGCGCAUAUGACAUUAUGCCUGAAAUUGAUAAAAGGUGUGGACAUUAACUGGCUAUAAAAGGUGUGGACAUUAACUGGCUAGCUAAUAUAGAUGGGAACAAUAACAAGCAUACCUCUAUGAUAGCACUUUGCCUUGCUGUAAGCAUCCGUGGCGCCUUCUUAGAAACAUUUCCAGUUUUCUGAUCUACCAAAGCCAAUAUUUUCACCACCCUCGCAGAUUCCUUCGCAUGGUGUAUAUGGAGCUCGACCUAAUAAUUAGGUUGAAUGCUUCUCUCAAAAAAUAAUUAGGUUGAAUGCACAUGAUAUGGCAUUAGUAAAGUGGCUUUCACAUAAAUAUCCCUACCAUAUCAUCUAAUUAAAAUCAUACCCCCAGCAUAUUCCAAUUUUCGUAUAUAGCCUCAAAAGCGCAAUUUUUCAUAAAAGCACCCUUAUCUUAAGGUAGAGAGUUGUAAAAUUCGUAGGAGGGCAGGGUUUUUAACUACAAGGAUAUGUAAAAAAGAAACUGAAUUUUUGAAUAGCAUAUAUGAAAAUUUCAGAUUGUCUCCUACCAAAACAACCACUAAACCCAGACAAAAAGAUUCAUUUGGGACCUAACCUGAACGCCAACCAAAAUCGGAAUAGUUAUAUCCAAGACAAGGACUUUAAGCUCCAAACUAGUUGCAACUUUCACGGGGAAAUUUGGUUGGCACAACACUCCACCUUGGAUCACGUGGCUAGCAUCCACGCCUGGCAAACUAACAGCAAUAUUAUCUCCGGCUCUCGCCAUGCUGCAACUAGUAGAGUCACGCUCAAUAGUUCGAACUGUAGCUAAAUCUCCUGAAGGCAUAAGGAGAACCUGAAGACAAGUCGCCUAAAAUCAACAACUGCAGAAGCUUUUCCAAAUUUCUCUUUGGUGGCCGUCACAGUUGUGGCUCUUUUUUGGUCAACUCGCAUGGAAUCUAUUGCUAAGUAGCUACAUAGAAAAGUUACAACUUUUUACCUAAAACAUGACUGAAAAGGCAUACCUUAGAACCAACACGAAUUGCUCCAGUCUCCAAUUUACCACAAGCUGCCACUUGACCUAGAGUGUGUGAGGUGAUAACAUCACAUAUUGGCAGAAGAAGAGGCUUAGAAACAUCACGAUGUGGUGGCUGUAGAGAGUCAAUGGCAUCUAAUAGACAGUAUCCUGUGUACCUACAUAUUCAGUCAUCAUUUUCAGAAAGUAACUUCGCAAAAAAAUAGUAUCUGUUAAUUCAUCAAUGCCCACAAAACUGGGACAUUAUCUCAAGCAGUUAAUUGUUGCUUCUAUUGCCAAAGAGUAACUGCUUCAUGUACCUAAGAAGUUACACAAGAAUGUUGUUCCUGAGUAAACUUUGGAGGCAUGGCAACAAGUGAUGUCAUGUUCGAAGUUUAAAUGGUGAAAGCAAUCACUAGCUGUCCCGCGUAUCAUGCUGCCUCAUUAACAAAAUUCUAAGGUAUAUUUUGAGAGGCGGCAUUACUGUUUGCACAAGAAACAAUAUGAUUACAUGCAAAUAUAUCUCGUAUGAGACAAUCAAAGAAUAACUAAAUUACCAGGAAGUCAACCGUGUAUCUGAAGCAGUUGCCACCAAAUUUUGAUUUUCCAUUGCACUAAGUGGAACCCAUGUCAUUGACAAUUCUUUGAACCCACAGGAACGUAGGAAAAGACCAAGUUGGGAUUUUAUCAAUUCAAAUCGUUCCUUAGAGAAGUCUACCACAUCCAUUUUGUUAACAGCAAUGAUAAUAUGCUCCACACCAAAGCUCCUGGUAAGUUGUGCAUGUUCCUUGGUCUGACCAACACCAUUACCGCUCAUGCCUGCUUCAAAUGAACCUAUAGAAGCAUCAACAACUAGAACAGCAGCAUCAGCUUGUGUUGCACCAGAUAUCAUGUUUGGAACAAAAUCCUUGUGGCCAGGGGAGUCAAGAAGAACAACUCGGUAGUUUUUUGACUCAAAAUAUGCAACGGCCACUGUCAUUGUUAUACCCCUUUCUCUCUCAUAUGUACUCUCGUCCAUUGCCCAAGCAUAAGCAAAUGAGCCUUUUCCCUACAAUGAAAACAGAGACACUUACAUCUACAACUGUGGAAAAUUAUCUUUCUUAUUCAUAUCUUUAUGCCUGCACAUUUUUCGUGCACCCUUCAGAAAAAUAAUUUGUUACAAAAUCUACCCUUGCAAUUACAAAAAUUCUGCUAAUUGAUAAACUUCUUCUCACACAAAACCAACUUCCCACCAUGUAAAUCAUCAGAAAAGCACAUAAAACUGGAAUAAGUCUAAAAGAAACGUACCAGAGCAGGACCUCCCCGAAUAUAUCUACAUCAACAAUCAUAUACAAAAUAGCAAGCCAUUCACAAGGAAUCUAACCUUUUCUUUAGCUGCUUUCUCAUAUUUAUGCAUUUGCUUCUUGGAAAUCCGUCCCAUAAGUUGUAGCAGUCUCCCAGAUAAUGUAGACUUCCCAGAAUCAACAUGACCAACCUAAUAGGGCACGCGCCCAAUUAAUCUCAUGCAUGAUAAAGAAAAAGAAAAAAGUGGCAAUAAGAUUCUAAAACUAAAAAAGGUGAGAAGCCAACAAAUCAACAGAACUAGCAAAAUGGAUGGCUUACAAUUGCAAGAUUCAAUUGACUCGGCAACUGUUCUUCAUCAGAAAGCAUCCAUUUUUCGGGCUGGUACUGUAACAUGGCUUUAUUGCUUUUAUUAUGCCUGGAGUUUUUAUCCAACUUCAAGCCAGUUAGAUUCUCUUCUAAAGUUUGUGCUGCAUCUUCUUUGGUGUUAUUAUUGCUCUCAUCCUCAUCAAGUUGACCAGCUGUAACCAAUGAAGCUGAUGAACUGGCUGCUAUUCUGUUGUCUGGUAAAACAUUCACUAUUGCCUUCUUUCCCUUGAUGCCAGAUGAAGCCUUUGCUGAAGUUGAAGGUGCCGUGUCAACUGAUACAACAGAAUAUAGUAUACAAAAAGACAAAUCAAGGUAACCAUCAAAAACAGUAUCUAUUGGGGACUGAUAUGUACUUGAAGAAAUGCGUGUCAUAUAACUGAUUGCAACUUUCAUUCAGAAAUUUUGUUAUAUGGCAUGCUUUCUACUACUAAAAAGAGUAAAAGAUAAUAGAACUGCAGAUAAUCUUUAUGUGUCAAAGAACAAAAAGUACGUAGAACGCAUGUAAUAUUCCUCAAAAGAGUAGCAUGUCCAUGUGAGCUAACAAACAACUAGAAAAUUGAAUAAAACAUGAUUGCACCACAUCGCAGGCUUGGUAAAUCAUAACUGACGACUUUCUGGAUCACUAGGCUAACGAACUAAAAUAGCUACACUAAGUAAGAAGUGUAAUGCUUUAGACUAUAUAUUACAUUAAAGAAAUUAGUCAGAGAUUAACAAGGUACCUUUUAGGAAAGUUCCUGAAGGUUUCUUGCCUGCAGAAACUAUAUCAUCUGGAGAUGGUGUAUCAAACUUGAAAGGGGCUGUCAAUAUCAACAAAAUCCAAUCAUGUUCCAAUUAUUUCCUACAGGGAAAAUAAUCAUAAAAUAUUCAGAUCCAUAUUUGAGUAAAACUUGCAGAACAUGCUCAGGUUAUGGUCAUCAAAGAAGAGGGGAAAAAAAGAAAAGAAAAACAAGCAAGUCCAGAUGAAACAGAAAAUGGUUGAGGUCAUCAAAUAGCCCUUCACUAAGCGAGCACCGAACAAUGAAGGUAUCAUUGUAAGCAAAAUUCCUAAUAACAACAAGAAAUCGAAAAAGCAUUAGUGAGGUUAUGCAAUCAAUCUACGGAAUAUGUAACAUACUUAUAUUGACAGAUGGAUUGUAAAUAGGAGGCAUAAAUGUCCUCUGGAGGUCAUUAAAGCUUGUGUGCAUAUAUCCUUUCUCGCUCCUGGUAGCUUGCAAACCAUCUGUGAUGAGAGCUGCUUUGGGCAUCCUAGAAGGCGAUGGGGUAAAAAGAGACCUAGCCAUAAUAGAUACUCCGGAACCCUUCUGCUUGCCAUGAACUGCACCAAAUAUAAAUAUUUUAAUUAGGCAGAAUUUUAGAAGAUAGUACAUUGAACUUGAAGGCCAGAAUCAUAAAAAGGAUAAAAGAAAAAAAUAGUUGUUUUGGCUACUGAUGCUACAAUUAUCAAGGAAACUAAUAUACCAUCUCUUUCGCUAUCGUUGCCGAUUAUACCAUUCAAAUCCCGCACGACGCCACAUAUGUCACAAGAAGAAGAGAUUUCAUCAUUUUCAUAUGUACAAAUCGAGCACCGCCAAAUUCCAGGCUUGGUAGUUAAUUCAUCCAUCUUAGAUCUUCAUCCUACGAUGAAAUUAAAAAAGGAGAAGAAAAAUUUUCAUUUAUUUCGAAUGGUUCUUAUAGCUUAGAAAAGCCAACACUUCAAAAAACCAAAAAAGAAAGAAGAAAAACAACACUGUAUUCAUAGAAACAACCAUGAUAUUUCAAAAUGAAAUCUCUUACGCUUUUACUUCCGAAAUACGGAACCCGUGCCGAAUCUAUUCCAAAUUUAGGAGCUCAGCAAAAACUAAAGCCCAACCACAUCAGCAGCAACAUACAAAUGAAGAGUAACCAGAAUAUUUGUUAACAAAAUUAAAUAAUUUUCCAUCAGCAACAUCUAAAUGAAGAAUAACCAGAAUAUUUGUUAACCAAAUUAAAUAUUUUUCCAUCAAUCUUAUGAAUUUAAGCACCAUACGGAAGUCCUAAUCCACUAAAGUCUCAAAUAACCCGCUUUAUUCCAACGAUUCUAACAAAAUUACACCUCAAAUCGAAACUAAUAAACAAAUGCAAUACUUAAUUACAUUGAAAAUGAUGAAUAAUCAAAGCAAUCGUGGUCUAAAAAGAUAGAAACAAAGUAUCUAGCACCAUUUCUUCUUAUCUUCUAGCAAAAUCUAAGGGACAACGCAGGUUUACUUGAAUUGGGGCAAGGAAACAGCUCCAUAAAUUAUAAAAAAAAAAAAGAGAGAAGGAAAAGAAGAAUACCUCGAUUAAUCGAUCGUUCCCCCCGUACAACUCGAUCAAUCGAAACCUCUAUUGAGAUCAAUCGCCAUUCGCGCGAGUCCUAGAUACGGGAUUCGAAAGCUUUUUCGGGUUUUAAAUUUGUAGAACUUCACUGAACCCAAACCCCUCUCCCUUCUCGUUCGUGAUUUAUACUCAAUUUUUCACUCGUUUAUUUUAGGGGAAACUUCAAAAAUGCCCCCACGUGGUUUUGCAUUUUCUCACUUUAGUACCCUAUAAUUUCAAAUAUUUUAAGUUAGUACCAUAUAGUUUCACACUUUCUUACUACUAAUUUAAAAGUGGUUUCAAGUGUAUCAAGUUUUAUCCUAUGGUUUUGCAUUUUCUCACUUUAGUAUCAUGUGAUUUAAUAUUUCGUUAAAUUAUAUAUCCCGAAAUGAAUAAUAAAAAGAGAAAAUUGAAACCAUAGAAUACUAACUUGAUACAAAAAUGAAACUAUAUGGUACUAACUUGAUACACUUGAAACCACAGGGUACUAAAAUGAGAAAGUGCGAAACCACAUGAUACUAACUUGAUGUAUUUUAAACCUGAGAAAAUACGAAACGACAGGAGCGGUAUUUGAAGUUUCCCCUUUAUUUUAUAAAUGUAGAAAUGUACGUAUCUCAUUUUAGGGGUCUACGUACAUUUUCGUGCACUAACACUACAAACGAAGGCCCAAGCCCCAUACAACAACAAGGCCUGGACCAAUGAUUUUGUAGCCCGUAUGUCCUAGGCCCAUCUAUUGCAACAAAAAAAAAAAAAAGAAAAAAUUGGAAAAAUGUUUCGAGCUUAAAAUAUAGAAAAAAUAAGUUACAAGCUAUUUUAUGUGUUGAAAAUUUUAUAUGACUCUUUUAUGUGUGCAUAUUGGCUAAUCAAAAUUCUCUACAAAUUAAUUGAUCUGUAACCAUACUAAAACCUUUUAUAGCAUUCGUACAUAGCUCAUUCCUUAAAACGUUAGCGAUGAUGGAGUGUUGUAAUGCCUCAAACUGCACGAAAUUUAGAGAGUCAUCUCUUGAUCUGUCAUGUUCGUGGUGCUAUGCAAGACGUGUCUUACGUAAUAAAAUAGGAGUCUCCUCAGCGCUCACGAUAUGUUUGCAUGGCACUGUAUCUGUGUUUUGCUCUUGCACAAAGCCGAGUCUAAAAGUUCGUUUGGCAAUCCUGAGAGGAGCUAGCGUUUUUGCGUUACGUAGUCUGUGUUGUGCACAAGGAGAAGCUUCUUACAAACAUCUUAUGCAUGCCUGAUGCUAAAAUUUAAGUGCUAGACAACAACACGGCACAAUAGUCAAUGUCAAAGUAACUUGUUCCUCCUCUCGGAGAGAAUAAGGAAAUGGUCAAUGCAUGCAUGCGUGUAUAUAAAUAUAUAUCCAACUUAUAAACAACCUCGAAUAGCACGAAUGUUGGCGCGCGGGGGAGAAUAAGUCCCCAGUUAAUAUAUACUUUGUUCCGAGCUCGCUUUUAUUUUAGCAAGCAACCGUGGGGAUUAAUUCAUUAGUUGGUGGGGUGUGGAGGGGACAUGAACCUGGUCGGUGCGACCGACUUUGUGCAUUGGGUUGGUUAAUUUAAGUUAAUUAAGGGUGGGAUUAGGGGAUAAUUAAUUAGGGAGGGGAAUGGACAUAUAUAGAAUCCAUCCGUGUGUUACCAAACGAUUAAUAGAUUUAUAUAUAUAUGAGUCCGGCUGGGAUACUAUUGAUAGCACGAAGUAUUUGGUAAUAUCAAGUUUUCUGCCGUUAGAUUUACCUUGUUUAUCAUUUUCAUUCGUUCGAUUAUAUUAUUCAACCAACCACCCACUCAAACCUAGGAGGCCUAUAUUAUCCUAACCUUACAUCUUUUAAUCCAAGGGCAGAAAAGUUAAUAGCACCAAGUCAUUGGUGCUAUUAAUAGUAUUCCAGUUUAGUUCAUAUAUAUAUAUAUAUAGAGUCCGGCUGGGGUACUAUCGAUAGCACCAAGAAUUUGGUGCUAUUGAGUUUUUCACUGUUAGAUUUAACCUUUUGAUUAUUUUUACCCGUUAGAUUAUACUAUUCAACCAACCACUUACUCAAACCUAGAGGGCCCACAUCAUCCUAACCACACAUUUCUCAAUCCAAAGGUUAAAAAACUAAUAGCACAAACAAUUUGGUGCUAUUGAUAUAUAUAUAUAUAGCAUUAAACAUCUCUAAUUUUAAUUUUUUUAAGCUUAAUCUGAUUGUUUUUUAGAGAGGGCUUGGAAAAAUGAGAAUGUGCCCUUAUAUUGCACCUAAUAAUGUUGUUGGUACGUAUUAAAUGAUUGGGCUCUCUAUUCCAUGUCGAUCGCUAAUGAAGAUAAUUUGCUUUGCCAUUAGCAUGCGAGCUUCUCGAUCGUGUAUAUGAGAAUCCGCCUAAUCUUUCGAAGGCUAACAUUACGAGCUGUUAUUGUGUUAGCAUAUGUAAUACCCCACGUGAAUUAAUUUAAUUGCUAACACAUCCGCAAUUAUCAAAGAUCAUUUAUAGGCGACUCUCAAAGCAUGCAUUACAAUAUUACACAUCAUCCAACGCAUCCGUAAUCUAUCAUUCUUACUUACUAUGCAAAAAAUCUAUCUUAAUUUUAUUCAAAGGAAGUAGUGCAACUAUGCAAGUCGUUGGAUGGUACAUAUCGAUAUAUAAAGUGGGAUGGAUGAUUGAUAGAUAUCGCCACUAUAUGUACAAUUUAAUGGACGGACGAAAUAUGGACACAAACGGUUGCUCGCGAAUAUUGCGGUUGGUUCCUCAUAUUAUUGUCUAUAUAUAUAUAUAUAUAUAUAUAUCUACAGAGUCCGGCUAUGAUAUUUGUAAAAGCACCAAUUACUUUGUAUUAUAGGUUUUUAACUAUUAGAUCAGCACUGUUGAUCAUUUACACCCGUUAGAUUAUACUAUUCAACUAACCAUCCACUCAACCCUGGGGGCUCAUAUCAUCCUAACAACAUAUUUUUUAAUCUAAAGGCUAAAAACUUACAAGCAUCAAUGUCUUGGUACUUUUAAAAGCAUAGGAGCUCAAUUAUAUAUAUAUAUAUAUAUAUAUAUAUAUAUAUAUAGAAUUAGGCCGGAAUACUAUUAAUAGUAAAACGUUCUUUUCGCUAUCAAGUUUUUAACCUUUGGAUGAAAAAUUGAUAGUAAAACGCUCUUUUAGCUAUCAAAUUUUUAACCCUUGGAUGAAAAAUUGAUAGUAAAACGCUCUUUUAGCUAUCAAAUUUUUAACCCUUGGAUGAAAAAUUAUAGGGUUAGGAUGAUAUUAGUCAGUUAGAGUUGAGUGGUCCCCACUGGGUUAUAGUAUUUAAUCCAAUGGUUAGAAAUAAUGAAAAGAGUUGAUCCAAAGGCUUAAAAACUGAUAGCAACAAUAAGAUUUUGCUACUAAUAGUAGCCCAGUCCAACUCUCUCUAUAUAUAUAUAUAGACUAGGGCUAUUAUAUUUUUAUAAGUAUAAAUCUUUUUGUACUCAUAAAUUUUCAACCGUUUAAUAAAGAGAUGUACGAUUAGAAUGAUAAUGGUUUUCGGUUAGAAUGAUAGUAGUCUCCUUAGGUUGAGUAGGUGAUUGAGUGGGUAGGUGGUUGAAUAAUAUGAUAUAACAGAUGGAAAUAGUUAAAGGAAUAGAUUUAACGAUCAAAAAUUUAAUUUAUACUAGUUUUCAUUAGUUCAUACACAUGCAGUUUGAUGAGAUACUUAAAUGAGUUGUACUGGCAAAGAAAGAACACUUGGUGAGGGAUCGACCAGAGCAUUUUAUUUCUCAUUAAGGGACCGGUUCCCUCUCUCACAGGUAUGGAUGGAGUGUCACAUGCAUGGUUUCCAACGGUUAUGUACUUUGCUCAAUAGUAAAAAUAAGUCAUGAUGUUGGCCAUAAAAAGCAACUAUUUGAAAGGUGAAUUCAUCCCACCGUACAAUACCAGAUCAGUGCACUACUACGCGUACAUGUAUCUAUUGUUAUACAUAUGUGUAUACAUAGGAUGAUCUGGGCCUUUUGUUUUGAUAUAUAAUAACUAGCUUAAUUAGUCCCUAAAUUAAGUUUGAUAUUGAACUUAAUAUUAACAUAUAUAUAUAGGCAUUUACACAAAGAUCUAUCCUUAAUUAGUAAAGAGUAUAUCUGUGAAUAGUAACACUUUUUUUACAAGUAAGCUUCUGAAGUUUUACAGUGCGCACAAAUAAGUAAUGAUUUUUUGUGAACUAAAAAUAUAUAGUCAUAGGUAAUCAUGUUACCAAAAUAAAUAAUUAGGCCCUAAAUUACAAAAAAGACUUAAGAGUACAAUGCCUAUUAUGUAAUUAAUUAGCUUUAAAGGCAACCCUCAUGCAUGCAGCUGUGCAUGUUACUUGGACAUUGUAGUUGCAUCAUGGGAUUUUGCAUUCAUGCAUGCAUGUGAAGUGCUUCUACUGACAGUGUCGAUCUUUAUUACCAAAAAGAACAAAACACUUGCCAAACUUCCCUUAUAAAUUAGUUCAGUUCACGUGAAGGAUUCAUGCACAAAUUAACAAAAUAACACUCAAGAUCUUUCUCAACCGUUCAUCAUUUCUUACAUAAAAAGAAUAGUGAAUGAUGGUGUGAGUACGUUGUAGUACGUAGGGCAAAUUCUAAAUCACAAUGCAAACUAAAUAAUUAGUCGUUAGCUGGUUUAUAUAUGUAUUUUGUUAGUGUGCCCAUCACAUGAGCUUGCGUUUAAAUUUUUUGUUCUCCAAUUAUAUAUGAUAGUUUUAAGCCGAGGGGAUCAAACAAAAAGAAUAAAAAGGGGCUCCCAUAAAUUUGAGAGCUCAUAAGCCAUUGCCUACUUAAUUUCCAUGUGGACGACAACAUAUAAAUCUAAUGGACAAUUAGGCAACCUGGUAAUUGAGGCAUAUAUAACAUUUUGGGUGCUUUUCUAAUUGUUACAGCACAAGGACUAUAUAUGUUACUAUAAUAAGAAAAUAUCUUGAACCUUUUUUGAUGAUUUUAACAUGUUGGCUUAGUUGAGCACACGUCCAUGCACAUGCAUGUGCCAAAACUGGGAGACAAAUUCCAAACAACACUACUCAACUGGGAGAGUGUGUGUGUGUGUGUGUGUGUGUGAGAGAGAGAGAGAGAGAGAGAGAGAGAGAGAGAGAGAGAGAGGCCCAUGCGACUUGGGAUUUGUUCGGCUUUGUUGUAUGGUAUAAUGCUGUUGAAUAACAAGCCGUCUAAUUAGUUAGAGAAAAAAUUUAUCAUUAAAGCCUCUCUAAUAUUAAAUUCACACUUCUUCUGAUUUCAAGUCUCAAAAUUUUAAACUGUGUUAUUCCUGUUGCAGUAAAAGUUAUCUUUUGUUUCUGGUAAUUAUACUAAGAGCCAAACAUGCGCUUAGAGCUUUUCGAUAUGUCAAAAUAAUGUUGGAGGAAAAGAGAGAAUAUUGGUCCCCAUGAUAUGCGCAUAAAAUGAAGGUGCAUGUCAUCGUACAAACAAAAGCUCUGCCUCUUGGAUCGAAUCAUUAUUUACCAAACUACUUUUUGGACCACCAAAAACAAGAAGGUACGUAGUAGAAGGUGAUAAUGUGAAUUCCUCCUAGCUAGGAUUGUAAAAGAGUUAAAACCUUUCGAACUUGAUUAAUAUAAAGGUUUAUUAAGGUUAAUUUACACUCCGUUAAUUGCAUAGUUGCCUUGAAAAUAAACUCAAGGUGACUAUAAAAAAAUAGUAAAAUUUUUUGAUUGAUGCUUAUAUAGUACGAACGUCCUUUCGAAUCUCGCCUACGAAGCUGCAGUGAUUAGAUUUUAGUAACAUUUUUUGGAAUUUAAUUAAGUCGUGUUGCAUAUUAGACAUGAUGGACUAGCUAGCGGGGACACAUACAACUUUACGUACGUACGUAUUAGACACAAUUAGUACCUAUAACCGAUAAAACAACACAAACUAAGGAGUGUGAACUAAGUUGUGAUACCAUAUUAGAAGAUUUAAGCCUAACCCAAAAGCAUAACCCAUUAGGUGAGUGAAGAUACGUUCUACAUUAUACACAGAUCAAAAUUUCAUUUUGUACCCGAUAUAAUACUAUUAUUUUUAAUACUCGCGAUUCACUCUAUGUAUUUACUUUCUACUUAAAAAGUAAUUAUUAUUAGGGCAAACUUCAAUUUGUCUCCCUUGUGGUUUAACUCAUGUUUACUUUGCAUGUCACUCCAUGGUUCAAGAAGCCGCAUUUAAUUAUCCUUGUAUUUAUGCUCAUUUUUGCUUUUUCACUGUGUGGUCUAAGAAAAUAUACUAAUUAACUAUCUCAUAGGAAUCAGAAUUUUACUUUGCUAUCAUAUUUGACAUAUAGUAAGUUUUUUAGAUAAAAAUAAAGGUAAAUUAUGUAUACCCUUAUUAUUAAUAUACAAAGUUAUUUCGACUUAAUUUUCAACUAUUAAGUAAUUGGUCGAUUGAUUCAGUUAAAAAAAAAAGAGCAUCAAAAGGUGAAAAAAAGGAUCAUGAUUUAGGAGGGACCAUAUACCAAUAUGAAUCCAACAUUGUUUUAUGUUUUAAGAUCUAGUCAUGAGCAGAUCUGGUCCAGCCAUGUACCCUAUCUGCAUCCUCUUCUUGUCAGAUUUCGUAUAUAUAUAGUCUCCUUUCUUAGAGCAAUUGUUUUUUUUCGGAGAGAUAGGUAGCACGCUACCCGCUUCGUUUAUUUCAUUUAGAAAUAAACUUAGCUGGAAAUGUGAAUCAACUAGGAUUCGAACUUGAGUCUCGGGUACCAACCACCAAGCUCUUUGUCACUUGCUCUAGAAACGGUCGGUUCUUAGAGCAAUUGUUGUCUCUUUUUUUUAUGCCUCUGCAUGCGUUGUCAUCAAAAGUUCUAAAAAUUGGUGGUGAGGUAGUACAUGCAUUUUAUGGUCCCCAAAUUUUUAUAAAUUCGACAUUUAAUCCCCUUCAAAAGGAUGUAAAUAUCUCACUAUCUAUCCAAAAUAUGGUUUAGUCUAAACCAACAACAGUGAUCCAAUGACCAGACAAAAAAACGUGACUCAGCAGUUGAUUAAUUGAUCGAUCCUAUCUUUUAAUAUAUGAGGAAACUAAUUUCAUGCAGAAUUUUUCUAAGCACAAAUUAAAGUGGUUAACAAAAGUUUAGUAGUUCAUAUUGCCCUACUAGUUGGUGAUCUAGUAGCUAAAACUGAGGCAUCUAGUUUCUAUCUCUAGCUAGUUAGCUAUGUUACAUUAAUUGUAUCCAUCCAAAGUGCCACAAUUAUAUAUGAUUAAAUUAUAUGAAAAUUGUUACACUAAUUGAGGAAUUAAUUGCGCAAGGUCUUUAUAUACUUUACCAUCAUGAGGCCCACUUAAUUGAUUUCUAUUUAGGUGGUCCAAUUUUAUCACCAUCUUAGUGGUCCUCUUUGAUCAAGUUACUAUACUUUUCUCACACCAACCAAUCUAUACCAUCUAUAGCAUCUGUACCAUCUAUCUAAAGAUUCUAAACAACUAUAUUAAACCCCAAUAAGUUACCACAUGACAUUCUUUCCUUCAUUUGGGUUGUGACUUGUGAGCUCCAUCUUUAAGUAAUAAUACUCCUUUGGACCGAACCCACUGAACCGGUCCAUCUCUUCUUUCUAUUAUUUUUUCUUGAACUGAACCGGCUUGUUUUGUUAUAUACUUUGUGUUGAAUCUAGUUCUUCACUGAACCAGCCCACCUCUUCUUUCUAUUCUUUUUUUGAAUCAAACUGAUCUACUUUGUUAUAUACUCUUUUUGAACCCAAAUUUUCUCUCUUUAUUUGAACCGAACCCGCCCAGUUCUUACCUUUUUUUUUUUUUAUUUCUUUAUUUGAAGCAAAUGGGCUUACUUGAAUCCGGUUCUUCUCUUUACCCUAAGUCCUAAACCGUUCUUCGACCAAUUUCUUCAUUUUCUAUUUCCUACUCGCCGUUUCCACUGCUGUAUUAAAGAUCCUUCCACAAUUGUCCAUUCACUUUCAUCUCCAUUCUUAUUCUUAUAUAAUAACAUCUGCAUUCUCUUUUGUUCCAACACUUUUUGCGAUAAUUUUUUUUCGACGGUAAAAUAUGCUUACUUGCUACUCUGUUUUAUUAUAUUCCGUACCAUAUACAUUUUAAAAUUUUAAUUUAUUAUUAUUAUUUUUUAUCUCAGAAAAAUUUUAAAAUUUUGCUCCUAUUAUCUAUCCGCCAAAUUGCGCGGAUCUCUACACUAGUUAAUCUAAUUGUAAUUCUUGUUUAGUUAGCCUCAAUAGAUUUAGAGUAAUGGUUAGACCAAAGGAAGGAUCUAUUAAUUAGCUUAUAAGAAAUCAUUUUUAUUCUUGUUGAUUCAUCUCAAUAAUUAGCACACCAAAUCAAUCCAGUUUGUUUUCACUUGUUUUUGAUUAAUUCAUUUAUUUUUUGACUAGUAGAGACCAAUACCAAACAUAAAUGCUGUGCUAAAAGAAAGGGAUCGAAUAAAAUCUACAACAAGAGAUCACAAGUUUCAAAGGAAUAGUGUAAAUUGUAUCAGCAAUUUUUGAAUUUCUCAUGACUAAGUUUCUUUGACACUCGGGGCGCCAAGCAUAUUCUAAAGUAUUUUUCUUUUGAAUGUUUCAUAUUUACUGUAGGAGAAAAAAAUCAUUGUACGUACCUCCACUUAGGCAUAUAUCCAUCUUAUUAUCUCUCGAUCGUAUCUCGUGAAUUAAAGCGAUUUUUCAACAAUUUUUUUUAUAACUUAAUGGUUAAAGUUUAACGAGCUGAACACGCAAGUAUAACCUGGCUAAAAAGCUUAGGAACUAUUACGCUUGAGAAACUCCGUCCUUGUACCCAAAUUUUUUAUAGUUCGGAUCAGAUCCAGUUUGGCUCGUCACGAAAAGCAUCCAAACCAAAGGCACAAGAAAAUUCUGCAGAAUCCAGCGGGGCCUAACCUGUGGUCAUUGUCUAGAAGCUAUAUACUAUUGUAAUUUAUUACCCAAAGGAAUAGUUAAACUUUUGUUGAAAUUUAAUUUUUUUUAUUUCUAAUCCUAUAUAUUAUACUAAGUUGAGCUCCCACAUUAAGAUCUACAAACAUAUGACCCCUAUUAAGCUGUUACACACUAUCAGCUAUAUUGACUUGAGCAGUAGAACGUGCCGGAGACUCUCCUCCAUUAUUGUAUUCUCCUUAGCCACAACCUCCCCCACUUUAUUAUUAAAUAAAGAUAUACGAAAUACAAUACAAAACAAGGAUAUAAAUUAAUCAUAUACUCCCCUCACUCUAGAAUUUAUAGGAUCCGUUAUGAGCCCGUAGACCGGGGAUGUAAAAUUUGAAAUUUACUCUCUCUUUCUGAGUGUAUAUAUACGCCUUAAUUCAAUAUAUAUAUAUAUAUAUAUAUAUAUAUAUAUAUAUAUAUAUAAUUAGGCUACUAUACUAUCUAUAAUACCGAGCUCCGAUACUAUAACGUUUGUUUUCGAUCUUAAGACGUUCAAAUCAACGAUCCACACCGUUAAAUAUGAUCUAGAGUAUAUAUGAAGUUCUUAGGAAUAAAAUUUUAGUUUUUUUCGAUAUCGUUUACUUAGUAAAUAAAUUAUAUCAAAAUGGACGGUGGAAAUUGAAUAAUCUUUAAAAUUUGAGCAUAGGACUUUUAAAUUCAAGAUCAAGAAUGUUAACCUUAAUCUAUAUAGUUUAAAGUAUUUUCUAUCAAGAUUUGAAGGAAUUUAGAUUCUUCUACACCGUUAAACUCCAAACUCGUCAUAAUAGCCAUUGAAAAUUGACAAUUUUGAAAUAGUUUGAUCAUAAAAUAAACUAUGUCGAAAAAAUAUAAAGUUUUAUUUCUAUAAACUUUAAAUACCCUAGAUCAGUUUUAACGGUGUGGAUCGUUGAUUUGAACGCUCUAAGAUCGAAAACCAACACUAUAAUACCGGAGCUCGAUACUAUAGAUAGUAUAGUAGCCUAGCUCUCUCUCUCUCUCUCUCUCUAUAUAUAUAUAUAAAAUAAAAAAAUCGAUCCUCCCUAGCGCAAGUAGCAAAGAGCUUUAUGGUUAGUACCCGAGGUUCUUUCAGCUAAAUUUUUUUCUAAAUGAAAUAAAUAAGACGGGUAGCAUGCAAUCUAUUUAUCAAAAAAAAAAAGUAUAUAAUAAAAAAAUUAACUUCUUAAUUUUGUACCGGUACCACAAGUAAAACCUCCGGAACUAACUAUUAUUAUAUAUAUAUAUAUAUAUAUAUAUAUAUAUAUAUAUUCUAAAUGAAAUAAAUGAUGCAGGUAACGGAGUUGAGCUAGAAUACUCUCAAAAACACCAAGAGGUUGGUGCUUUUGAGUUUUUAACUCUUGGAUGGAGAGAUGUGAGGUUAAGAUGAUGGUGGUAGGUGGAAUAGUGUUUGAUUCAAGAGUUAUUAGUAUUCUAGGAAUAGAUCCAAUGACUAAAAACUUAAUAGCACUAAGGGGAUGAUACUUCUAAAAGUAUUCUAACUCAAUUCCAGGUAACGUAAUGCCUAUCUCUCUCAAUAUAUAUAUAUAUAUAUAUAUAUAUAUAUAUAUAUAUUUCCUUUUUCUUUUUCUUAUUCUUUCAGAUUCCGAGCUCACAAAAGUUUCUUCAAGGACUAGUAUAUUUUGACUACUGCAAAAUUUGCUGGGCCAAACAAUGAAGUGUCCUAAUAACUCCCCUAGGAUUAUGAGCAGAGAUAGUGGUAGAUGGAUAGGCCGAGUUGGGUCGAAUUUAUUUCGGGCCAUUUUAGGUCUCAAAUUAGUUAAACUUUUAUUUUCUUUUGCUUGCUCUUGCGAACUCAAUUUGCUAAAAUAUUAAAGAUGUCGAUUGAAUCUGCAAUUUCACAUAAUAACGAGGCUUACAAAAACUAUGAUACUGUAUUGUCCAAAUAAUCGAUCUGUUAGGAUCAUAUUCUUAAAUGCGUAUUUAACACACAAUGAAUUCUAUUUUGGUUUUGUUAGGUUUGAGUUAUUUUUGGUUUUAGUUAGUUUGAAUUUGGAUUGUUUCAUGUUUCAAAACACUUUGUUUAACACUGCCACAAUCUUGGGUUAUUUCGAAUUGGUUUUUGCUUAGGAUCGUCCAAGUUUCGAAUUGUUUUGCUGUCGAGUUAUUCAAUUCUCGAAUUAUUUAGAUACGGAUUAUUGUGUUUGAAAAAUACUAUCUCUGUAUUAUAGCUAGACGUAAAUCUCACGUUUUUACAAAAUUAUAGUUGGAUCUCAGUAAAAUAAAAGAAAAAUUAUAUGACAAGUAGAGAAUUGAAAGUUGUACAUAUGUAAAAUUUAUAUCUAUUCUAAAGGUGUACCGCUAGUUUUGCUCUCGGUGUUUUUGAGCGUGAGAAAUUUGGCUCACAAUUUUUUUUUGUUUUGGGCACGUACAAAGAUUUGGUUGUUGACUUUUUUUUUUUGUAUUUUAUUAUUUUACGUUCGGUAAAAGCAAUUUACCUAUUUAAGUGACCCACUGGGGCUUUCAAACAUCGUACGGCACUUGGGUAGUGUUCGGGGUAGUUGUAGUGCGGGCCAUAGCGGUGGGCUUAAACGCCAUUGUUACAUUAAUACAGGCGUUUUAAAAGGCAGUCGAAGCACGCCAUUGGAGAUCAAGGGAGAGAGAGAGAGAGAGAGAGAGAGAGACCCCUCGAGUCCUCGACCCUUCAACGAACUCAACUCACGGAUAGGGCUCCGAUCCCACUCGCUCUCGUCUCCUCCCUACUUGGGAUCCGCAUGCGCCUUGCACCAUGAGGAGCUCUGCGGCGGAGCUCGCGAUGGCCGCGGCGUCGGCGGCGGCGGUGGCGGCGGAGGAGGAGGAGGAGUUCUACGAGUCGCUGGAUCGGAUCCUCUCCUCCUCUUGCUCCUCCACCUCCGCCUCCGACGACGAGGCCGAGCACCACCACCACCGCCGCCGCCGCCGCUCCUCCCACCACAUCCCUCUGCCGCCGCCCGCCGCCGCCGCCGCCGCGGCGCCCUUCGACGUAUGGAUCUCCGAGCCCUCCUCCGUCGAGGAGCGCCGCCGCCGCCUCCUCCAGCAGAUGGGCCUCGCCGGCGACCCCGCUCUCUCCCGCGAUAGGGCCGCCGCCGCCCUGUCGAGCCCCUACGCGGAGGAGCCCUGCGGCCGAGAUCGCGAGCCCUCGCCGUCCCCUCCGACGCUUCCCGUGGCGAGGGAGCCGGAGAUGUGGAGGUCCGUUUCGUGGGUCGAAUCGCCGCCCAAUCCCCCGAGCCCCUUCCCCGUCGCCAACGCCGUGGCGCGAUCCAGAUCCGACGGCUCAGUGGUUCCCGAUCUCGUGAGUACGCCUCUUCCCUCCGCCCCAAGUAAGCCGCCUCUCUGCUUUAGAUCUCACAACAAUGUCGAAAACGACGCCGAGGACGGCGAUCGCCACCAGUACCGGAUCAAGAACCUUGACGACGGAACUGAGUUCGAGGUAAAGGAGUUCCGCGAGGACGGGAUGUGGAACAAGGUCCGGGAGGUCGGCACGGGCCGGCAGCUCACAAUGGAGGAGUUCGAGAUGUGCGUCGGCCGCUCUCCGAUCGUCCAAGAGCUUAUGCGGCGGCAGAAUGUCGAAGACUCCAGCAGCGGCAGUGGCGGUGGCACCGACCCUGCCGGCGAUUCGAAGCCCCGCUCGGUGCCCUCCGGCGGGGGGAGACCUAAGAAGAAGGGUAACAAUUGGCUGCGUAGCAUCAAGCACAUGGCGGGCAAUGUGGUGGCCGGCCGGCACCACCACAGUCGCCGCCACAGCCGCAGCGGCGAUGAGAAGGACACAUCGUCCGAGAAGGGAGGGAGGAGGCUGAGCUCGGCCACCGAUGACAGCCUGGACGGCUCGCGCCCUCCACAAAGCGGGCCGGAGAGGAUAAGGAUCCGGCAGUACGGGAAGUCCUAUAAGGAUCUCACCGGUGUAUUCAUGAGCCAGGAGAUACAAGCGCAUGGCGGGUCAAUUUGGAGCAUCAAGUUUAGUUUGGACGGGCGAUAUCUGGCGAGUGCUGGGGAUGAUUGUGUUAUUCAUGUGUGGGAGGUUUCCGAGUCGGAGCAGAAAGGGGAGGUGUUGGGGGAAUGGGCAGUCGGGGAGAAUGGGAGUUGUUAUCCUUUCUUGGCUGCAAUUGGUAAUGGAUCGCCGGAAAUGGCAUUGCCUCCGAGUUGUAUUGAGGGUGCCUAUGGAGACAAGAAGAGAAGAGCAAAGGUUCCAAGCAGCCGAAAAUCUGUUAAUUCAGACCAUUUGAUAGUGCCGGAACACAUAUUUAUGUUUGCGGAAAAGCCUUUUUGCUCUUUCCGGGGCCAUGGCGAUGAUGUUCUCGAUCUCUCAUGGUCCAAAUCUCAGGUUCUUCUUCUUUGACUGUUCAAAAACAAUUUAGUAGUCACAUUGGCUAAGGCAAUUUUGACUCAAAUUAUCCAAAGCAAUAUUUGUGUGGAAUUAAUAGGCUGAUUGGCUUCUCAAUUAGUGUUAGAUAGUUUCUUAUGAUGUGAGUAGAAUCAGAAUAUUCGCUAGGCUGUUCGGUGUCACAGAUGGCUCAUAUUGUGAGUAUGUCCAAUAUCAUGAGUCCAUAGUCUUAGAUAGCUCAUAGCGCCUUGGCCUUUGGGUAUGUUAAUUUCUAUAGUUUUGGUAGGUCAUUGGUUCUAUGCUUUUUAAAGAAGUUUUUCUUAUGAAUUGAGGGGAAUGGCAGUAGAGAUUGCUUAUAGGGAGAGAUUUGCUUGAACAGAGUGAGUUUUUGACAGCUUGAGGCAGCUUGAUAUUGAAAGCUCUCCUUCUGAUUCUAAAUUUCUUACUACUCUUUUCUCAUUGUUUCAGUUUCAUUCGCUUAGCUAGGUGCUUCCACCAAAAGAUUGUGUUUGGUUUCAAAAAAUAUUUCCAGCCAGCCAACGAUAAUUCCUUUUCUUUGCAAAUACAUUGAGCUGGAAUUUCUUCCGUCACAGAUAGAUUAGAAAGCACCAGUUGACUUGUUUGAACAGCCAGGAAGUGUGUCUUGAAAAAUUCGGUAUAAUGGGGGUAUGAUGCUGAUAAAAGAAACCAUUGAUGAGAGUUCUUUCUAUCAUGAUCACCUUAAACUAUAUUAAGAUUAUCUUGAUAACCAGAACUAGUGAACCAUCUUAGACAAUAACUUUGGCAAGCCGUGGCAGUCUGAACCUCCUAAAUACACAAUAACUAGACCGUUCUAUCGUCUACUUUCCAAACAGCUGCAGCUUAUGGCUGCAAUAACUAGAAUGGCAGCCAUAUAACAUGGGAAACAUUAUCAGAAACUUUUCGCAAAUAAGUACAAUGUAUUAUGCAAUAUCUAGAUUUGAACAAGGUUGUACUAGUUCAUUUGGAACUGUGAAAUAAUGGUUUGAUACAGCCCUGUUCAAAGAAAGCGAGCUGCUUAUGGCAUGAUCAACAAACAACUUGCAACGUGUUUGAUAUAGGAUAUCCCUGUUGAGUUCUCUUCUAUAUCAUUGUUGUAAGACUUAGCUCUGUAUUGACUAUUCUACUCAGAAUAGUUGUUGUAAGAUUCUGACACCAUAGUGUGGGCGUGAAGCUUAGAAGCUACAUUUUCUGAUCAUGCCUAAAAGGCAAGCCAAUACCUCAGAUUGAAUGUAUGAGGUCUGUGCUUGCUUGUUUGGAAUACUUUGCACCAUCAUCAAGGUGCUUGUUGAGUGGAGACUAGAAAGGCACCUUUAUUUUCUCAAGAUGUCAAUAUUUACCCUUUCAUGAUGGUUUUGGUAUACCAUAAGGAAUCUAAUCUUAAAUUGUUUCAUACCAAGAGAGAACUUGAAUGUGGAAUCAUAGAGAUGGUAUUGCAGUGGACUGUAUCACUGCAGGAUGGCCACAAUCAAAUCUCUUGAAAACAGAUUGAUAUUUUGCAGUUCAAUACAGCCACCUUUAAAGUAAUUUGUCACCAGUUGCAGUAGGUGGCUAUAUCUAGCUUUCAUUCUCACUUUGAUAACAACAGAAGUCGCAAGUUUAAAAGGCAAAUAUUCUCUUUUUUUUUAAAUCAGUUCUUUGUGCAAUUGAGAUGGCCAGAUUAUUCUUUAUCAGCUUUAUUGUGUAGAGAAGAUGGACUAGAAGACUCAAAAGAAGCCUAUAGAAGUUGGUUGCGCCGAAUUAUUUCUUAGGAAAAACUUCGAAAAGCCUUUCUUUUGUAUAGUGCAUUUGCAGUUUCCUACCUUGUGAUUUAGAUUGUGGAAUGUGUAAUUCUACUUGAUUAAAUCUUUUUAGUGCUGCAGAAUGCUUUGAUGCUAUUAGUUUGAAUCAAAGUAGCAAAUUUGAAGCAAUGAUUUUGCUGAGUUUUUUUUUCGUUUCUUUUUGCGUGUACAGUGUUUGCUUUCAUCUUCAAUGGACAAAACUGUUAGGCUGUGGCAUAUAUCAAGCAGUACUUGUUUAAAAACAUUCACACACAGUGACUACGGUGAGUUUUGUGCUGUAAUUGUUUGCCCAUGGCUAUUCUUCAUUUUAUCAUCAUUUAAUUGUUACGGUAUUUAUUAGCUAAUUGCAAUUCUAUUCUUGCCUUGAUACAGUGACCUGUAUCCAGUUCAACCCUGUAGAUGAUAGAUUUUUUAUUAGUGGAUCGCUAGAUGAAAAGGUCCGUAUUUGGAGUAUUCCAGAUCGUAAAGUUGUUGACUGGAAUGAUCUUCAUGAAAUGGUCACUGCUGCUUGUUAUACCCCCGAUGGAAAGGUUGACUUUUGAUUCUCUGGUUGCAUUCAAGUGUUCUGGCAACUUUUGAAUUUUGCAAACUUUUACAACAUUUUUUUUCCCUUGACCUUGAUCAAGAAUGCAUCUUUUUGGUUCUGAAGGGUGCAUUGGUGGGUUCACACAAGGGGAGUUGCCACUUGUUUGAUACUUCUGGUAUGAGUCUCUCUCUCUCUCUCAUGACCGGACUUUGUAUGUUUAUUUGUGUGUCUCUCUCUCUCUCUCUCUCUCAUGACCGGACUUUGUAUGUUUAUUUGCAAUUUUCAGAUGUAGGUACUAUUAAAUAUUUUUGCCCUUCAGCUAUUGGCUAUUCCUUUUCUGUUUUAUUGGUGUCUUUAUCUCACGUGCUUCUUAACUUUAUCUGAUGUAACUAGAGAACAAGCUACAUUACAAGAGUCAAUUGAAUUUGCGAAUCAAGAAAAAGAAGUCCAGCCACAAAAAGAUCACAGGCUUCCAGGUAGAGAGUUCACAAGCCACAUCUCAUUUAAAUUAAUGUUGUGUUUCUAAUCUUUUAGUUCAUCUUGGUUCUUUGUAUGAAUGUUUAUUGAUUACUUCUAUAAUACAGUUUGCUCCAGGAAGCUCCUCGGAAGUUCUUAUUACUUCUGCAGAUUCAAGAAUUCGUGUUGUCAAUGGUGCUGAACUAGUUCACAAAUUCAAAGGUAAAAUUUUUACACUUGACAGUUGUAUUUCUUCCUUCCUCGGUGACGCAUGAAUCUUCUUUCUGUAAAUAUUGACUAUUCAAAUAUUAUGAAUCUUGUUUUUACUGUUUCUUUUGUCAACAUAACGAUUUAAAAUCUAAUACAAUUUAUUUUUAUUUGUUUUCUUAACUCUUCUUUAAAAUUGAAUUGAUGGGUAUUUCUUCACUGGGUUUUGUUGUGAAUGACCUGGUGCUAGUUCACACAGUGUUUCUGCAAAGGCUCGCCCCAUCUUUAUUAUUGAAAGAAAAUGGCGGUGCUGCUUCUUCUAUUAAAAAAAAACCUUCAUGCCAUAUCUUAUUCAGCAAGAUAAAGAAGUAGAGUUACUUGUGGGUCUAUCAGAGGGCAAGGCAUUAAAGCACAACCCCUGUUUUUUAAACCCUUGUCCCAGGUGGCCUGAAUGAAGCAUUAAAGCUCAGUUGGCCCAUUCACUCUUUAAAUGAAAUGCUUCACUGUAAUUAGUCCCUCUGGGGACGUAAAUUGCCAUUUCAAUGUCAAUAUUUCACUGGGCCAUUACCUAUAAAUUGCUUGGCGGGGGGCUUGCCUUUUUUAUUGAGUUUGGCUACUGGCUAAAAGAGAACUCUGUUAUGCGUGACAAGUGGAGUACACUGGAUAUCUUGAUGAAACUUGUGGACUCGACUGUUAUUAUUACCUUUUUCUUUCUCAGGUUUCCGCAACACGAGUAGCCAAAUCUCGGCCUCCCUAGCACCAAAUGGAAAGUACGUGAUCUGCGCGAGCGAGGACUCCCAUGUCUAUAUCUGGAGAUACGACGAUAACUCUCAGCCGAGUAAAACCAAAGGUGUUGUUAAUGUCACCCACUCUUACGAGCACUUCCACUGCCAGGGCGUGACCGUGGCGGUGACGUGGCCUGGCAUCGGCAAUGGAGGAUUACUUAGAGCUCAGAGCAGCAGCCGGAAUGAUCCAGGUGGAGCAGCAAAAGCCAACCAAGAGGCGCUUUUGGAAAAUAGUGAAAGCCCUUCUGCGACCUGGCCCGAGGAGAAGCUGCUGGCCAACAAAUGCGGCGGUCAAAGCUCUCCCGAGCUUUCAGGUGAGGCGGCGGAGAUGCAACGGAUGUCGGCUUGGGGAAUGGUGAUUGUGACUGCAGGCCAUGGAGGCGGGAUCAGAGUGUUCCAGAAUUUCGGCUUUCCGGUUCAUGUAUAAAAAGGGGCAAAUACACGGAUUCUCUCUGGUUUUUAUUAACCUUUUUUUUCCCCCCUUUUUCUGUAUAGAUGGAUUGUUUGGUGAGGAUUGUACUAUUCUUUGAGUUUUGUUUCAUUUCGAGAUUUCUUCGAGCAGGGUCGGACUAAAGAUCCACACAUUGUUUCGGAUACGGGAGGUCUCUGUGUAAGUAUGAUAUCGCCGCGGUUAAACCCUUUUUAAUCUUUUCUAUACUUGGCUUCAUUUGCGUAGAUGUGGAAGAAAAAUUCAUUUGUAAUGUGGGAGUAAAUUUCUACUCGGAGGGCUUUGUGAGUUGCUGAUGCUGUCAAAAUUCAUUUUCCUUCUUUUCACUUGGUGUGAUAAUUGAAGAUUGCGAUUUGCCGUCGCAGAACCGCGUUUUGAGUUCCAGAAAAUAGAUUCUCUGUAUAAUGAGAGCCGAUAAGCAUUUUAGCCUGACUUUGAAAAUAGCUUUUCAAUUUCAAUUCAACGGGAAUGUGUUUUUCCUUAUGAGCCAAUAUACCAUCCAAAAUAAAUAGGAAUGAUAUGGGUUAGUAGUUGGUAGAUAAUAAUGCACGAUAAACAAAACAAUAUGAGAAAAGACUCUUGUCCAGGAUUAAUGUGUGUUUGAUUCCUCGAUAAAUCUGAAAAACUAUUUUCUAAAAAAGAGAGUAAAAUAUAUAUUUUUUAUAGUCUUUAUUUUUUGGGUAAAAAAUUCAGACAAUGAAAAUGAGGAUUUUAUGUGAAAUCUGGAAAGCACUUUUCCAAAAAAAAAAAAAAAAAAACUACGUUUCCUAAAAUCCAAAGUAAAAUACUUUUCUUUCCAAACAAUUAUUUUUAGAAAAACUAAACACUCUUUGCAGCCGGAUCACACACUUUCAUCUCAAAUCUCAAAUACAUAUAUUUACCAUCAAGUAACAUUGAGACUGAAAAUCCAACAUAGAGUUAAAAAAAAAAAAAAAGAAGUAAAAUAAUUUUUAGAGUAAUGAGCCUUAAAACCCUAUCAAGAGGCCAUAAGAAAAAUGGUGGCCUCCGCAAGAAACUACGCUUACAUAUCUUUAACUUCAACAAAAAAAAAAACACACGCACACACACUUAUGGAUAAUUUUUAUAUCAUUCUAGUAAUUAAGAGGGAAGGACUUAGAAAAUUAACGACUAAACUACAUAAUAAUGUAGAAACUAAUAUAGAAGUUGUUGGUAAGCAGAUGCAACAUUACUCAAUCCAUGAACCCUCCACGAUCCGGCCGGGAAUUGGGCUCGAAUUGUGCUCAAGAGUGACUAGAUCGGUCAUCUCGUCCCAGUAGUCGAAUUCGGCGAGGCUCUCCUCAUCGAGGCCGCCGAUCAAAUUGCACGGCGACAAGCCGGAGGUCGACGAAGACGACACGGAGGAGAAAGGAUUCGUCAUGUCGUCGUAGGCCGAACUCUCGACGACGUUCACCGUCGCCGAAGGCGGAGGGCACGAAAACCAUGCAACGUCGCAGUCCAAGGGCGGGAAUUGUGUAGGGUGGUGGAGAGGUGCAUGGACGGUCGUGUCGAGAUCUGCACUUGCAGCACUUGUGUCUUCAGUGGUGUCGGCAGUUGGCGACGAUUUUGACGUCCUGCGGCGCUUGCUCUUGCGAAGGCCGCCGACGGGCACGUCACGGAGGACGCCGCCGGCCGUCCAGUGGCGGCGGCAGGCGCGGCAGUAGUGCCGCGGCUGCGACUUGCUGUAGUUGUUGUAGUAGCAGAACUUGGUGUUCGCCGACUCGCACCGCGGGCACCUCAGCGGCACUUCCGAUUCACACUUCUUCAUAAACACCCAGUUUUUAAAAAGAGCAAAUAGUAUAUUUGAAUUAAAAUUUUGUUAAAUUUGAUAAUAAAGAAUAAGUUUAAAUUUUUUGAAUUAUACGUACUUGUUGUUGUUGUUGUUGGGAGGCCAUGACAGUAUUGCCGGAAACAUGGUUGGAGGAGAGGCCCAUCUGAAUGGAGGGGAGGGAGACUGCGGAAGAGACCGGCGGCGGCGGCGGCAGCAGCGCGUCGAAGGCGAUCGGAAAGAGUCGGCGAUGCGCGAGGCGUGAUCAGAAUAAGAGAGCAUGUCGAAUUUGGCCGCUGCGAGGGAAAAGAAAACAACACUGGCUUGUGGACACCUUCUAUGAGUGUUGAUGAUGAGCAGAGCUGGUAAUUAAAACCUAUGUACAAAGAGAAGAGGGGUUGAGAGGGGUGUGUUUAAUGUGUAUAUAUAGAGAGCGGGCGCACACCGUAUCUAACAUAAUUAGCUAAUUACAAAAAUGAUUGGUACAUGAGAUUUUAAAUUCGAAAUUUUAUUACUUCACAUUUAGGGUGCGUUUGGUUCGCAUUAUAAAAAAUUAUUAGGAAUAAAAAAUAUUCGAGAAUCUUUAUUCCUAUUCAUUCUAUUACUAAGAAUGUGGAAUUCCUGUGUUUGGUUCGCACGGUAAUAUUAAUUAGCCAUGUUAUUUAAUAUUACAAAAAAUAUACAAUUAAUUAAUUAAUUUAUUUAUUUAAUUUUAAAUAAUGUUACCAAAAAUUUCAACAUCUUUUUAGAAAAAAGGGAGAGAGAGUAUAAGUUAGAGAGAGAGCAUAAUUAAAAAAAAUAGAAAGAAAAAUAUAGUCGAAAUUAUAGAGAGUGAGAGAGUUGAAAUUUUAGAAAAAAAGAAAGAGAAAGCUUAGUUUAGAGAGAGAAAAAAAGUUGAAUUUUAGAGAGAAAAAUAAAUUUAGAGAGAUGUAAGGUUAAAGUGUAAAGAAAAAUAAUAUUAAUUAGCCGGCGGGUAGGAAGAAAAAAAUAAAUUAGACAUAUUAUAAUUAUCCCAAUCUAUUAAUAUGAGAAUACCCACUCUCUCUUAAGGGAAUAAGAUUAGUACUUUGGGGUGAAUCUUAUUCUCAAGUGAAUCUAAUAUUACCAACUAGAUUACUUAAUGCGUUUAGUCAAAUAUCAUUAUACUUUUUUAUUUUUAUUAAAUUAUUAGAAAUUUAAAAAAAAUAGCGUGAACCAAAUGUACCCUUAAAAGAAAGAAAGUGAACGGGGGUAAGAGACGUGUGGAACCAGGCAUAAACUAAACGAGAAAAAGAGAAGUAAAGAAAUAAAGAAAAGUAAGAUGCGUUUCUUAAGUGUUAAGGCGAUCCGCGGCUAAGAAAGCGAUGAGAAAGAGAGACUGUGGAAACACGUGCAAUUUAUUUUAUUUUAUUUUAUUUGUGGUUGUGGUGGAACUGCUGUAAAAAUGCAUGGUUGAAUUUUCGUAAGUUUUUAUUAUACUAGUACAGUAAUGCUAAGUUUAUAGUUCAAAAUAGUUGAAAUUUUUUAACCCUUCAUGGAUUCUAGGAUUGAGCCUACUCUUUUAUUAAUAAUCGGAAUGUUAUUAACAAGUAAUAUAAAAAAAAAAGCGCUAAAUUGGAAGGCUAUUGAUUACACCGUUUUUGAUAUUCAAACAUUUCUUUCAAUGAUCAAUGCCGUCAAGUAUAAUUAAAAAAUAUUUGAACAUUCUUGGCACUUAAUUUUAUAAUUUUAUGUUCCUUAUUUAUUGAUCAAGCAGGCUAAAAAAUAAUAAUUUUAAUGGUUUAUUAUUUUUUUUUUUUUACUUUGUAGAAUUUUGAUAGAAUUUUUGUCAAUAUAAGGAUUUAAACAUAAAAAUUCUAUUCCCUACUUUCAUCGAGUUAUUUAGUUUUGAACAUCCAUUUUUUUUUUCACAAUUUGAUAGCCUAUCAAAAUAAUUUUUAAAAUUUAUAAAACUUAAUUUUUAUGAUAUUUAAUAACUUAGAUUCUAUUUAAAUUAUUUAAUGAUAUUAAUCAUCAAAUCAAAUAUUUCAUCAUCAAAAAUAAUUAUACAGUAAAAAAAUUUCUAUUAUUAAUAGUUCAUUAAUAAUAUGUAGCUUAUAAUUAAAAAAAAAAAAAAAGAAGAAGGAAUAAGGCAAUGAACGGAUGGGAAGGGAUCUGAGUCAGGAAAGGGACGUGAUUGGAGUGAUCGUACGAUGGGCGGUGGAGAUUCCGUGCUUUUUUGUCAGAUUCUCGGCGACUGUGGGGCCCGCUCGACGUGGCCUUUGACAUAUAGUCCCAAGAACAGCUGGAGCCUUUCGGUUAAAAUUUUUUUUUUUUAUUACAGUUAUUUUAUAUAAUAUAUAUAUAUAUAUUUUUAUUAAAAUAUUUUAUAUAAUAUAAAUAUAAAUUAAUAUUUAAUUAUUUUAUUAUAAUAUUAUUUUAAUUUUAAAUAAUUUAUAAUAAAUCUUAUAUGUUAUAAUUAUUAUAAAGUGUAUAAUUUUUGGGCGGUGAUUUUUGUCGCUUGCUUAGGUUAGGUCUAAACUAACACAUUGACCUCGGCCGAGUUUUGUCGUUUUCUCCUCUUAUUAUUAGAGCUAUACUUUAACUAAAACUUUUAGUACGGAAUCAAAAUCAUAAUCGAUAUAAGUUGGAUUCGAAAUUGGAAUGACUCAUUAACUAAUUCUGUUUAGUUAAUCACAAAUUAGAAUAAAUUAUUUUUAUUAUUGGUGUUUUGUUCAGAUAAAUAUAAAAAAUAUAAUUAGAUCAAUAUACUAUUUUAUCUUUAUAAUAUAUUAAUUUAAAUUCAAAUUAAAAUAUUUACAUCAAAAUUUUGAAAUAAUGUCAAAAUUUUAAAUCUAUUUUUUUAAAAAAAUUAAACUUUAAAGUUGAGUGGAUAAUUCAAAAAUAAAAUAAAAUUUCGAUUUAUUCAAAUUCAAACUUAAAAUUAUAAUUUAAAUUUUAAUUUGAAUCCAUGAUUUAAUUUAAGUUUUAAAUAAAAUUUGAAUAAAACUUUAUAUAAAUUAAAAUUUAAUUUAAAUUCAAAUUCGUAAGUUUGAUUUGAAAUACUUGAUUAAAUUUUAAUUUUUAAUUCAAGUUGAAAUUAAAAUUAAAAAUUAAAAAUUUAAUUUCUAAAUUUAAAUUCAUAUUUUAAUUAAAAAAGUUGAAAUAAUAAGUUUAAUCCGAAUAAAUAUCCAUUCCGUCCAGAUUCAGGGCAUGUUUGAUUCAUCUAUUUUAGACUACGAAAUCGAAAUGGAAUUUAUUGAUUCCGAUAGUUGCCGUUUGUUUUAUAGGAAUCGAAUUCCGAUUCCUAUUCCACUCCAGAAUAGGAAUGGCCAAAUCCAUUUAUGAUCCAAUCCGGCUUUGAAUCCCGGAUUGGGUAAUUCCAAAGUAAACUAUUUUAAAUCCUCUUUCAUCAACAUCUACUUCCUCUCCCUUCAUCACUUUCCUCUCUCUUAAUCAAAACUCUCUCUCAAAAAUUUUAAAUUUUAAUUCCAAUUUCCUUUCCAAUAAUGAACCAAAUAUUUUUGGAUGAUUCGUCAUUCCAUUUUUCAUUCCAAAGCAAUCCAAUUUCAUUUCUCAUUCCUAUUCCAAUCAUGAACCAAACAUGCCUUCAACUUCUAAUCCCGCCUCCUAUAAAUGUAUGGGGAUCAAUUUUCUUAGUAUUUUAUGUGCACAGUCACUCGAAAAUUUAAAUAAAAAAAGUAUGCCAUUACCUUAAAAAUAUAAAUUUCUUUAAUUUGAUAUGUAUCAGACUAAUAAUUCGAUUUAAUUCAAAUAUAUGUUUAUAUUGUUAAGAAUUUAUAUAUAAAUAAUUUCACACUGGAUAAUUAAUAAGAGAGUAAAAAAAUUUAUACAUAUAAAUGGAUCUAGAUCUCAUAAGCUUAAAGUUUUAAAUUUGAGUAAUUUCUUUAGGUAUACCCCAUCUUUUAUAUGAGUUUAAAGUGGAUCAAAACUCCCCUAUAUGUGUUAUCACACAUGUCAAUUGUAAUAAUAAAAAGCAAUAUUAUCUGUACAUCUAUAAUAUCGGUGUAAAAUUUACACUCUAAUUUUCUUGUCCAUAUUUAUUCACUCAUCUUAUCAAUUUUUUUCUUUAAAAUUUUAACUAAAUCUCAAAAAAAAAAAAAUUGUGAAUUCUUGGAUUCAAAGAUAUAAGAUGCGCAUGUUACUAAUUGCAUUUUUCAAUAAUAAAACUCUCCUCAACGCAUUGAGUUUUGUAGAACAGUGUUUGGAGAGAGAGAGAUGCUUUGCAAACAAGAAAUUUUUUAAUUUUUUUUUAAUUAAAAACCGAACCGUUUGAUGCGUGAAAGAAUGCAAAACAGUUACUAGUGGGCUCGGCCCUAAUCCGGGCUCAAGAAAUUACUAAAAAAAAAAAGUAAAAAAAAAACUCGGCCUAAAUUAGGCCCAGCCUAUUAACGCUUAUCACAGCCCAUAACCCUUUUGGCCCUGUCCAUGCACUCCUCUUAACUAGGGAUGCUAAUUGGUUCGGACACCCGAGUUUUAACGGAAUCCGAAUCCGAACAGGGUAAAUUUAAGAUCUAUUUCAAAAUGAACUAAUUUUUAUUAAUUUAAAUUAAAAGUUAUCAAAUUUAUGAGUGAUUUCCAUCAGAUUUAAAACUUU